rnacentral:lncRNA from 1 species
UUUAACAUUGAUAAUGGUGAUGGUGGUGAAGCACCGCUUGUUGCACAGGGCGCUCGGCUUGCAAGGCAGAUUGAAGGCAUACAUGACUCGAAAUUGCGGUGGAAGGUCCUCUCUGAUUUCUGGGCGGAGAUGAUGCUGUAUGUCUCGCCGUCUGACGAUGCCCGGACACACCUGGAAGUUCUUCCAAGAGGAGGGGAGUUCAUCACGCACCUUUGGGCGCUGCUCACGCAUGCCGGUGUGCUGAAGCGAGGCCCUACAGAGCCAAAGGAUGUUGUGUGAUCUGUUCAACCAGUGCACAAGUAACACUCCAUAUAUCAACCUAGUGCUUGUAAGUUGUAACAUCCUAUGUAUAUUGCCUACAGUCAUGUAUACCAUGUGUGAGUUAGUCUGUCGAGUCUGUAUCUCUUUUCAUGUUGUGUCUGUUGUCAGAUUUUGGUCAGGAUCGGAGUCUGUAAUUUCGUAAGGGUUUAGUAAAAAUACAUUAAAGUACAUUUCACCUUUAUUUUUCGGAAUAUAUAAUCAGUUAGUCUUAAAUCCAUCAGCACAAUAUAUCAAAACCUCAGUUAAAUUCCACCCGGAUGAACAACCACCAAGGGAUGCUUUUCGUUAAGCUAUAUAUAUAUAGCCUCAGGGCUCUCCAGGACUCCAAACUGUGUACUCUCUUUAUUAUCAGGCUCCCACUCUCCAGGACUCCAAACUGUGUACUGCCGACAUGGCUUUGGCAACAAGUCCCUCACCAAUUCCCACUCCCCAAGAUGAUGAUGUGCUAGCUUUGUUCUACGUGUUAGCUUUGGUCUUCCUGGCCGUGGUGGCCAUAUUCCUCUUGCAUUUACUGGGUCCGCUACGCCGGUGGUUGAGCAAGGGUCUCCUCCAUCACAUCGUGAUGGGAGUCUACGCGCUCUCCUACCCGCUGGUAGGCUACACCAUUGGGCUGAUGCAGUCUGCCAAUUGGUACUUCAACGACUUCACCGUGUGGGCUGUGUUCCUGCUUCUGCUCCUCAGCAGCACGGAUAGCCUCACAGCUUGCCGCCUCAACGACAUCGACAACUGGAAGAACAUCUACGUGAAACAACUCUUUAAGGGGUUCUUGUUGGUGUUUAUCAUUCUAAAGUUUGGCCGUCAGAUGAUGAUGAGGAAUUUGGAUGCCGACUACCUGUGGUACCCGCUCUCAGCCAUCCUGGUCGUUAUCGUCCUCAAGUCAUAUCUGAUGAUAGCUUCCAUGAGGAUGGUGAGCAAGUCUUACCUCGGUAAGAACGUGAAGGUGAUCGCCGAAUACAUGCAGCAUAUAGACAACAGGCUGGUGGUCUUCAAUCCUGUGACCAUGGAAGGCUACCAGUACAUGGUCGCUGGUGAGAAACACUGCGUUAACAGGCCUGGACACACACCAUGGUACAAGAAGCCGGACGACUUGAAGGUUACCACCGUGGAGCAGAUCUGGCAGUGCGAGGGGAAUCUGCUCAUUGGUGAUCAGGGCAAGGUGCUCAAGGACUUGUGCCUCUCUAUGGCUCUCUCCAAGAUGCUCAACCGAAGGUUUGCUGGCUUCAAGCUCUCAGAGGCAGAGCUUGAGAAAACCCACGACUUCGUAUUCAAAGGCCUGCUCGCCGGGGACGAGCAGCGGGCCUUCAGGGUCAUUGAGGAAGAACUUGUUUUUGUCCAUGACAUGUAUUACACAAGGUACUCUUACCUCUACCAAAAGGGUCGAUACCUGGCUCUCUGUCUGCCUGUCAUCAUGUUUGCCCUAUGCUCGUGGCUCACAGUGGCCAGCCUGCACGUCAAGCAUCACGACGACCCCUAUCUCAGUAAUCAUAGCAAUCGCAGUCUGAUGUCUGGCACCAUAGUCAUAACGGUUGUCUUGGCAUUCCUGGAGGCAUACCAGCUGUACCUGUACAUAGCCUCAGGUUGGUUCAAGGUGGCACUGAUACGGAGCUAUGUCGCCGCACCUUUUUUGCAAACAAGCUGUUUCUAUGAGAUGAUCAUACAUCUUCUCUUGAUGUUGAAGGUGUUUCGCCCAUGGAAGGGCAGACUUGGGCAGUACUGUUUCCUCGAGAAUCUUGGCCGCAAAAGUAAGGUUGUGAAUUGUCUCCAUUAUGGUACACUGUGCUUGGUGGACAAGGCCAUGAAGGGAAGCAAGAAAUCAGUGAAGGUCUCCGAAGAUGUGAAGAAAGCCAUCAUUGAUUCCCUACUAGCAAGCAACGGACACCUGACGAACGGGGUAACAUCGCUGCAAAAAAAUGGCGUCCAUGAUGACCUCAAAUGGGCAUGUGAUGCUACUGCUACUGACGGAGCGUUGGCUCGCACCAUUGUGGUCUGGCACAUUGCUACAACCCAGUGCGAGCAGAAGCUGGAUAAACAAGUCAAAGAAGAAGACGCUGUCAAAACAGCCUCCACUUUAUCCAAGUACUGCAUGCACCUCCUUGCUUUCGCACCUAACCUCUUGCCCGACCACAGCUCCAUAUCGGAAUCCAUACUUGAUUAGUCAAUCCACGAAGCAAGCAAGUUACUCAAAGAGGCCAAGGACAAGAAGAUCAAGGGCAAGAACAAGAAGAUCGAGGGCAGGUGUGAGAUACUAAUGCAAAUUAGCACUGAUGAUGAUUGUGUUGAUGAUGAAACAAUUCUUGUUGCGCGGGGCGUUCACCUUGCAAGGCAACUGAUUGAUAACAUACAAGACUUCACAACACGGUGGAAGGUGCUAUCUGAUUUCUGGGCGGAGAUGAUGCUGUAUGUCUCGCCAUCCGACGAUGCUCGGGAGCACCUGGAAGUUCUUGCAAUAGGAGGGGAGUUCAUCACGCACCUUUGGGCGCUGCUCACGCAUGCCGGUGUGCUGAAGCGAGGACCUACAGUGCCAAAGGAUGGUUUGUGACCUCUUUAACAAGUACACACGUAGCAGUCAUUAUAUCUAUCUAGUGCUUGUAACAUUCUAUGUAUGUUGGCACACCAUGUGUGAGUUAGUCUGUCGAGUCUGUAUCUCUUUUCAUGUCGAGUUAGUUUGUCGAGUCUGUAUCUCUUUUCAUGUCGUGUCCGUUGUCAGAUUUUGGGCAGAGUCAGAUCUGGUAAUUUCCGCAAGUUUCCUUAAGAAGAGCGUGUGUUCAGGUUGUUGGACGUGCGCGCGUCUAAGGUGGCCAUUACAGUCGCAAUCUGUUCCAUCGACCACUUGGGCACUCUCUCUCAGUUGCGUCUGUUCGUCUGUCAAUUGAGCAGGUCCUGUUGCAGCAGAGAUUGACCCUGCUACUACAGAAGGGGCGGGGAUCCCCUCCUGAGGAUUCCAGCUCUUUAGGGAGGGGUUCAACCUUGAGGAAGAUGCCAUAGUAGGAAUUCUUGCAUUCAUGUUCGUAACAAUACUGAGUGUUAUGGAAAAAUAUGGUCUUCUUCCUCUUCCCUCUUUGGGGAAGGGAAGCCUUUAUUCUUCGCGGAGUGUAUUGGGGAUAUAGGACUGAAAGCAGUGAUCAAGGACACGACUUGCCUUCUUGGUCUUGCUCCUGCUGUUCAUACUCCUCGAAGGCUUGAUCUUCAAAUCCCUCGAACUGCUGAACGUCUACACGCAUCAGACAAGCACAUACAAGCAAACAAGGGCAUAAAGUAAGAAAACAAUACACCAAUCAAAAUUAAACAGAGAAAACAAGCUUGUAAAAUUGAUCUACGCUUUAAAAACGAACAUGUAGAUAUAAAGAAUGCGAAAAAAGGAGUUAAGAUGCAAAAGAUAUAAUUAAAAUAAGAUCCAGGGGUUUUUCUGCGAGAAUUCAAAACUUUUAGGGUCAAACUGCGAAAAAUUGAGGACUUAUACAUAAUUACGUGUAUAAACUGAAGGUUUAAUGUGCAAAAACGCAACUUAGGAUGGCAGGUUGAUUUUAGAGAAACUCAGGGUCGAAACCGAAAUAAAAUAGGACCAAAACACAAAUGCUUUUGAACUGGAUUGGACUGCGGGUUGAUUUGCAGAAAAGGUGAGGGCUUAAGUGCAAAAGAGGCGCGACGCGGCGCGGUUGACUAGUACGCGAUCUAGUUGACCCGCUGUGGGCCGUCGGAUUUGGAUCCGACGGUCAUGGUCGUCGGCGACACUGAAGCGGUGGCAGAAAAAGGUGGCGGACGGCGACGAGCGGCGGCGCUUUGCCGGAGUUGGCCGAAACAGCGCUCCGGGGUUCGGUUUCGCGCGCGGAUUGCACGAGAUGGAUGCGGGGAACACGACGAACUCAUUUAGGGCUUUGGCGGGGGUUGCGGUGCGACGGAGCUCACUUUUUGGCGGCGGCUUGCGGCGGUGCUGCUAGGGUUUGGAGGGGCGAUGGCUGGGUGCUUGAGGCCGGGGGGGGUGCGGCGGCUUAAAUAGGGGCGUAUGGCGGCGGGAUACGGAUAGGAGAUGGACUCCGCGCGGAGGAAGCGCGCGGCGGUUGCGGGAGGUGGGCGGAGUCCGGGCGCGGUCGGGGAGAAGUCCCGGCCGGGUACGCCUGCCCCACCCGUCAGACCGGUGGAAGGGAGCGGGUCGGCGCUGCUUCGCGGGCCGUGGAGGAAAGGAGAUGGGCCGGUGAGGGAGAAACGUGGCGUGGGCCGGAGGAGCUGAGGGGAGGCGGGGCCGAAAAGGGAGGGAGGUCGGUAUGCUGGCCAGGCCGGCAGAACGGGCCGAGCAAACGAGACGGGCCGACAAGUGAAGGUGGAGCUGGUGGCGCUGGGCCGCAAGGAGUUGGAGCCGGGCUGAAAGAAAAAGGAGGAGGAGAAAGAAUGCAGCCCAAGAGGGGACAGUAAAAGAAAAGAAGAAAAGGAAAAGUUUUGGAAAUUGAAUUUGAGAUUUUGAAUUGGAAUUUGGAUCAAAUACAAUCAACCAAAAAUUAUGCACCAGCAUGAAUGUACAACAAACUCCUAUGAUGAAUUAAUUUAAUUUAGAGAAAAUGAAAAUUAAUAUGCCUAAGAAUUUAAAUGACAUCUUAAUUAAGCAAAUUUUAAUGAAUUUAAAUUAAGCAAAUUUUAAUGAAUUUAAAUUAAGCAAAUUUUAAUGAAUUUAAAUUCUUUAAAAAUUUGGUGUUACAAAUGCCAGGCUUUCGGGUCCGUGCACCCAAGUCCUAACAUGACGGAGAUUCUGGGUACCAUCCUAUGCCAAGUAGCAGAUGGUGCAAUGUCUGCUGGCAGUGGCACCGAACCUGCAGCAGAACAAAAUAUCAUCAACGACAUAUCAAUUUCCCUCUCUGACAAGAGGUACGCAACAUUGCAUCCUGUCCAUUCCCAUUCCCUUUGCGCUUGUCGAACAACCCGUUUGUGUUAUGGUACUAUCCUAAAAAUAGAACAUAUUAUGUUUGGAACGUUAGUCCAACAACCCGUGCAUCCACACAUAUUUUUAGAAAAAGCAUAGAUAAUUGAGCUUUGUGAAAGGCAUAUAAUUUAGUAAUAUUUAGAGGUGAUUAUGUUUUCUAAGUUUUUUACCAUGUUUCUUCUUCCUCCUAUGAUUAUGUGAAAGGUUUUAUGGAGUACUCAACAAAGUUUGCUAGUCCAUUAACCACGCUUUUGCACGGGAUAUAAAUUUUAAAAGAUUCAUAAGUAUUAAAAGCUCAUGGAUAGUUAAUCCGAAGUCUACGAGUAAUUGAGAAAUUGCUUAUCUUUGCUUUGUCUCCUAUUUAUUUAAUUUUUUUAAAACAAUAUAUACCCAUAUAGGUAUUUUCUUAUAAUCUUGUAUGUUGGUGAUUGGUGUUGAUUAAAAAUUACUUUAUAUGCCUUUUAAUUCACAUUCAUAGUCUUUUCAACUUUAGAUGAAACAUUAGUGAAGGACUGAGAUGGGCGACUGGGGGUGAAUAGGAGCCUCCAAUAAUUCUUUUAAAUAAUAAGGCCUAUAUCCCAAUUGCCACCCAAAACGCAUCUCGCUUCUAAUCAUCAAGAUGACACUAGUCAACUCGUGACAAUUUCAUCUUAGGAACGAUUAGAAACACUCGAAAGCGUAGCGGAAGCAAAGAAAAGCAAAACUUCGAAAAGUUUGCACGAGAUAUUGAUCUCAAACACUACCAAAUCAUUACUUGACUAAGCAUGCUUGAAAUAAUUAAUUAAGAAUUAAGCAUGAUUAACAAAGUGACAAAACUACUGAACAAGUAGCUAAUAAACAAGGUAGCACAGAUUAACUAGUAAUAAUUAACUAGCUCAAGUGAUAAAUUAAUAAUUGCAUGAAUUAAAGAACCGAGCAACCAAAGAAAAGCAACUGGGCUGCAGCUUGCUCACCUUGCUGGGCCGCUUGCACACUGCCACGGAAGAGCUCCUAGCUGCUGUGCUGAUGGGCGAGCCUGGUGCUGCACGGACCGGUGUGCUGGGCCGCCUGGCUCCGGCCUGCUACGUUGACAGGUCUGGAUCGCUCGAGCCUAGCCACGGCCUACUGGACUGCUCGGCCGCGCGGCUCCCUCCGGCGUGGCUGGGCUGCCUGGCCACCCGCGCUGGGCCGCCUGCCUGGUCAGCUGCUGCGCAGGCCAGGAAUUUUUUUAUUUUUAUAUUAUAAUAAAUAGUCGAAUAAAAAAUUUGUAAAAAUAGACGUUCGCUGCCGGAUCAAAUGGUGGUAAGAUCGCUUUUGCCGUAUGAAACGGAGGAAGGGUACCGGCCGCCACGUGCUGCCCUCCCUCGCCGGCUGAAAUGGUGGUAAGGACUCUUCCGCCAUUUCAACCAGUGAGGCAGCCCGGGUUGGCGACCUAUAGCCGGUUGAAACGGCUAUAACGACCCCUUCAGUUAUUUUCCCUUCAUUUUUCUGACUUUUAUCAAUUAUUUUUCCUUUAUUGUUUUAUUAUUUCAAUUAUAUAGUUGUAUCGCAAUACUUAACUUAGUAAUUUGAGGUUAUACCUCUAUCUUGAAUAUUGUUCCUUUAAAUUUUUAUAUGACAUUUUUUUAGAGAGGUAGAGUGAUUGCACGAAAUCAUUGAAAAUCAUGAAAUUCCGGCCUACGUAAAGUAGUCUGUGGAUACAAUUGUACAAUCAUGCGCGUUACAAUUGUACACAUGAUAGCUUGUACCGGCGUACAAAAGAUAAAAGAGGUCCUACAUACUAAAUGUGUUCUCGCUUGAAACGAAGCUGCCACCUCCCCCUCCCCGACCACGACCACGCCUCGCUGCCCACUGCGCUGCUCUGGUCUGCUGCUGGUCGUACGUCAAGAGCUCUCGUGGGGCAACGUUGCAAGGCGGACGUCCUACUGCGGCUGCAGAUGGUGUCCCGAGCUCCUGGGUCGCGUCCUGUGUAGGAGCCUUCGGGGCCUCACGCAACUACGAGGCACCGAUCACGUCAGGCUUAGGUCCGAAAAGAUUGUCCACCCAUGCAUGGAAGCCUGACAAGAUUGUCCACCCAUGCAUGGAUGUUGGACCUCUGUCCCUCCUCCUCGACGGAGUCCUCCGGAGCCUCUCCGUGGUCUGCGAACCCUGUUAUGCAACUAAGGAAAUGAUAUUGUUGGUUUCGUUGCAUAUUUAAAAUGGAAUAGAAAACAUGUAUUCGUUGUGCACCGAAGCGGUGUAGCUCUAUGCCUGGUGGUGCUAAAGAAGGCCCCGCUCCACUGUAAGCUCCGUACAUCUGCGGGCUGUGUUAAUAAAUUAUUAUUUAGUAAGGUGAAUUGAAAAAUAUUUCGUAAAUGGUGUACGACAAAAUAACGUACCGAAAGUGCAUUUCAAGUUUACCCCAAGAUGUGAUAAGAUGGUAUGGAUGUAAAAGUUUCUAUGCACCUUUUUUUAUAGGUACCUGGUAAUAAUCGAUGACAUUUGGCAUUGGGAAGAAUGGGAAGUCAUCCGAAAAGCUCUUUCCAAGAAUAAUAUGGGCUCUAAAAUAAUCAUGACGACUCGUGUCAAGGCUUUAGCUGACAAAUGUCGAACUGAACAAGGUGCACAUGUGUAUACACAGAGUUUUCAUCACGAGGACGCUAAAAGACUAUCAGACAUGAUACUGAACAAGUCUGUCGGAAGAGACAUACUUGAAGCCAAUGCGGAGUGGCUACCCAGAAAGAUUGUGCAUACGAGUGGUUUGAUGCCACUAGCAAUAAUCUGUUUGUCGUCAGCAUGGGCAGAGAGCCAUGGGCAAGACGACGACUAUGGGGAAUAUUGGUAUAUUUGGGUAAGUGAAGUGCUGAUGGAUAGGUUUCUGAGUACUCCAUCCUUGAAACCACUACUCCAGAGUUUAUGCCUUGUUUUCGACGAUCUUCCCGUUGAGCUGAGGACUUGCUUGCUGUACUGCAGCAUAUACCCUCUGGGUUACUUGAUUCAAAGGGGUUGCUUGGUCAGAAAAUGGAUACCCGAAAGAUUUGUUUCGCAACAAGAAGUAUCAGAAGCUUACUUUGACAAGCUUGUUUCUAGGAAUCUAUUGCAGCCGGUACCCAAAUACCAGAUCUUUUACAUUUCCACCCCAUAAUGAUAGCCUUCCUUGUAUGCAGAGCAAAAGAAGAUAAUUUUGUUGCUUGUCGGCAGCACAACAAUGGCCGCGGUAGCUCCUCGCACGCCAAACAGAUCCGUCGCCUUUCUCUCGACACGGAUUGCAUUCCAGAUGAGGAUGUAGUAUCUCAUAUUCGCUCCCUUGCUGUUCUUAGUGACCAACCCCACAUUGGUGUCCCCUUGAAGAAGUUUAAAAACCUGCGAGUGCUAGAAAUUGACAGCUGUAAACGUCUAGAGAACUUUUCUCUGGUGGAUAUAUGCGGGCUGAUCUGGCUGCGGUAUCUGGGUCUCAACGGCUGCCUUGAAAUCACAGAGAUCCCACGGGAGAUUUGGAGACUGCAGAAUCUGGAGACGCUAGAGGUGAGGAACACAGGUAUUUGUAAACUACCCAUGGAAAUUGGGACACUGGUGCAUUUAAGGACUCUGAAUGUAAGUGGCACAAUGGUCACAGAGGUUCCAAGGGAAAUCACCGGACUUUCUCGUUUGGAGAAUCUGGAUGUAAGCUCGACAGGGCUGAAAGAGUUGCCUAAGGAAGUAGGAAAACUACAGGAGUUGAGGACUCUGGACAUUAGAGUGACUAAAGUCAGAGAGCUACCCCGCAGGGAAAUUCCAAAUUCUUUUUUAAGUGUGGUCGGCCACUUUGAUUCGAGUUCUGGUCGAGUGGUGAAGUUGCCUCUGGGUGUCUUCAGAUCAAGUGGUGAUGAACAGGUUAUUUCCUCUUCUGGAGCAAAUUUCAGGGAGAGCCUAUCCAUCCUCGUGCUCUUUAAUCAUCUCUACAAGAGGUGUGAAGUUCUUCCAGUUCCGAUGCAUAGAGUUGCCGGGAGACACAUGAAAGUCCCGCAGUGGGUCAAGCAAGACUUGUGCAAUGUCUGCUCCUUAGAUAUCAGUCUCUGCAAACUGGUGGAGGAAGACCUCGAGUUUCUGAAGACGCAGAUGCCCAACCUGCAGGCUCUCCAACUAAGGUUCGAGGUCCUCCCACGGGAGCCGGUUGCCAUCACUGGUGGAGGGUUCUUGAAGCUAGAGACGUUCUACGUCGAUUGCCGUCUGCCACGGGUGAUCACCUUCUGGGAAGGAGCGAUGCCGAAGCUGAAACAUCUUGAGUUCAAGUUCUACACCGGCACGGCAAGGCAACACUACUCCAUGGGAAUCAGGCAUCUCGACAGCCUUGAGAAGGUCGUGUUCCGAUGCUCCGAGUACUAUACAAGUCACGGUCCGGGCAUCCGCGAGACAAUUGAUGUACUGAGAAAAGAAGCUGCGGAGCAUCCCAACAAGAUCACCCUUUGGGUCAAUAACAUGAAACCUGAGGUUUUCCUCAAGACAAUUGAUGUACCCUUUAAAGAAUGGAAACGUGAACAACGUCUUCGACUAUCGACGGCAGCAGAGGUGCGAGCUCAGCGGGACAAAAACAACGCAAGGGCUGGAACUGAAAAGAAAAUUCAAGAAAGGAAAAGCAAUCUUGAAAUCAGGGAACGACGAUUGAGGGAAGCAGAGCGCUACUAUAACAUAUAAUAAUUGCUGCAAUAAUGGAUUUACGUUUUAUGCACUUGUUCGCUGGGCCUAAACAAAAACAUAUUAUAUCUUUUUUUUUCAAAAUCGGACCUUCCUUCUCCAUGACUCUAUGUGACAUUAUCUGUACGCACACUUGAUUGUCAUUAUUUUUCCAGUUUAGUUUCUCUUCGUCAUAUGCAGCGCUAGCUUGCACCAUGCAUGCGCACACUAAACAUUCCGUAUGCCUUGUUCCUAGCAACUUAUCCGUCCAAUCAUUCAGAUAAAAGUCGUCACCAUGUGAGUAUGAUUCACGCUAGUGAUCCAGUUCUGUUAAUUAUUUGCUUCCGUAUUAAAUAGAGUUUUAAAAUAUUUAAAGUUCAUUAAGUAAUAAACUAAGGGAAAAAACCGAACUGAAUUUAUUUAAUAACACUUGGAAGCUGUUCUAAGAGGGAUAGAGGGAUAAUAAAUAACUUAAUUUGAAAUUAUGUAUUUCAAAAUAUGUAGCACUUGAUCUUGUAAAUAUUAAACUAAACCUUAUAUAGUGUGCUUGUUGAGUUUCGUAACAUUUAAAGUUCAAACGCUAUUUUUAUUGAGAUGUUCCAAGUAGGUAUAUUUAACUAAACCCUAAGCAGGAUAUAGGAAUAAUAAAUAGCCUACUCUAAAAUUUAGAAAUUUCAAAAUAUAUGGCACUUUGGAACAUGCACACCAUAGUGUCACGCAAUGAAAAUAUUUGUUUGGAGGGGUUGUUUUUAAAAUAUUAUUAAAAAUGGUUAAAUUAAAAAAAUUUGCUUAUGUUUGGUUCUGCUCUAGGCAUGGCCGCAAUGUGCGAAUCCUCUCUCUGUUGGAGGGAUUGGAUGGAUGCUGCCGAUGAGACAAGGAAUUGAAACGGGCCAAAAUAAGUUCUCCUAUGAAGCGGGUCUGGGCCUAGUCAUCUCCGCCUGAGUGAACAGGGCUGCCCGCCAGUCCAAGAAUGAAACUCUCUCUGCACUGGGGUCGCAGAAGAAGAUGACGCGUGCAGCCGCGUCAAUGCUUUUCUGUUUUGCAUAUAUACCUCCUCAUCAAAAUACUGUGUACUGAUCCAUAUAAGCACGUAAAAGACUAAUCUAAUAAAAAAAGACAGCACAAUUAUUCAACUUGUCGCGAUCAGAUAAUUAUGCACAGCGCAAUUAUUAAUCGGAAUGGGUCUAUCGAUUAUUCGAUUUGCAAGAUGGCGCUGCUCGAGGAAAGCAUGACCGGAUUAUACCUAGCAUCCUGAACGGAAAAUGGUGGUGCAGAUGCUGAUGCAGAGCACUCUGCCUUGACAUGGAAUGGUACAGAGCUGAGCUCCCGUCUCGGAUUAGUUCCCUUCUCGGAUUUGUAUCUCGUGCGCAGGAGCCUGAGACCAGAUCGAAUUCGUUUCGGCUUCAAGCGGGCCUGGCCCUGGUCUUCUGUCUAAGGCCCGCUUAUAUAUAGAAAGAUAAAAAACGCAAUGAUCUUGGAUUCUUCGUUAAAGCUAACCCUCAGGAGAUCGUCAUCAGGUACCAAAAAGGGUCAAGUUAAAGAUUUAAGGUAAUUCUUCCUGCCUCCUCAUCAGAUGAAAUUUAGGUGCACAGCUUGACGGUCCCCAUGUUCUCACUUGGCCUUGUGCUGCCGUCACUUUUGUUCAGUGUUUUCCAUCUUCAGCUCAUCUGUACACAACUACAGACAUUAGUUUGACACUUUUUGCUAUCCUUGCACAACUGGCGGCAUAAUGAACGCUCCAGUAGUGUUCUUGUGCAGUCACACAGCUAGUGCUUCAUUCAUGUAUUUAUAACCCCAACAAACACUGGAACGAUGUAGCUAGCAGCUCCAGCCAUACAUGAUAGAACGCGAAACACUAAUCAAUAAACAACCAAAAAAAAAACCUCAGCCUAUUUUGGUCGAACACAACAUCUAACCACAAAUUAUUGUCGCCUUCCGAUCCCCGGUCCGUCGCCACCUCCCCGGCCGAAUGAAGAGGCACUCGAUGCUAAGACUGUUGACGAAGAGGCACUCGAUGCUCCCACUGCUACAAAAGCUGAGGUUAAAACAGAACCUGAGAAUCGGGAGGAUGAGAAAACUAGCAAGCAUUUAGGGAGGAGCAGUGCUAGUUCGAACCAAGGAAGCACGAACGGUUAUGCCUCAGCAGCACCAGGCCUUAACGAACAGGAAGCCAACUCUGCAUUGAAAAUCAUGCACGAGUUAUCUGAUCAUCAGUUGGAGCAAAUAGAGAAGCACCUGGAUUCCAGCACCCAUGUUGCUGCCGUGAACUGUCCACAGCAAACUCAAAUGGUUAUGGUUUCCAUGCCUGGCUAUACUUUGGGAGAACACGCAGGUCGCAGCCAAAGGCAGUACCACGUCGAUGGUCAGGGGAACAUGUGGAUCAACUACGCCGCGAACAGCCACAUGGAUGGGAGAGUCAUGACACAGGCGGCGGGUCUGCAAACUGCGCAUUUGUUGCCAGGUCCCGUCUCCGUCCCCGUGCCUGUUCCUGAGAACAACUUGGCAGGUGUUGAAGUUGGUCCAGCUCCAGGAUGGAAAUGGGACACCGCUGAACGCGUACUGAUAUGCGACAUGGGCGAUGCCCCAGGUCUCAGACUGCCAGAAGAGGUGCUGCACCCCCGACUUUUUUUUAUUUUGACCCUUUUUGCGAAAAAAUUUCAUAAAUAGGUCCCUGAUGAAACCAAUUCCAAAAAUGGACCCUUAGCUUGGCACCAGGAUGGCUGGCACCAAGCUAUAACGUUUGGCGCCAGCCUCCAUGGCGCCAAGGUCCGCGCACCGCGCCUCCACCGUGGCGCCUGGCCUCUGACGUGGCGCAAAGGUUUGGCGCCAAGAUCUAUGGCGCCAGCCUUGGCGCCAUAGAUCUUGGCGCCACCGACGCCAAGCCUUUUAACUACGGCGCCACCCUUCCUUUACGCGGCCCUUUCUUUCUUCCACCAUUCCACGACUUAGUUGCGCCGCCACCACCGUCCGCUCGCGUCGCCGCCGCCCCGCCUGCCCCCACCCCCGGCCAGCUCAAGCGCCCGCCGCCGCCCGCGCGGAGAGGAGGCCGGCCGGCGCCCGAAGCCGCCCCCGACCGUCGGCGCCGAGCUCACCCUCGAUCGGCCGGCUGUUGCCGCGCCUGGCGCUCGCCCCGGUUGCUCCUGCGCCCGUCGCCGACUUGCUGGAAGGCCGCCCGCUGACCGCCNNNNNNNNNNNNNNNNNNNNNNNNNNNNNNNNNNNNNNNNNNNNNNNNNNNNNNNNNNNNNNNNNNNNNNNNNNNNNNNNNNNNNNNNNNNNNNNNNNNNNNNNNNNNNNNNNNNNNNNNNNNNNNNNNNNNNNNNNNNNNNNNNNNNNNNNNNNNNNNNNNNNNNNNNNNNNNNNNNNNNNNNNNNNNNNNNNNNNNNNNNNNNNNNNNNNNNNNNNNNNNNNNNNNNNNNNNNNNNNNNNNNNNNNNNNNNNNNNNNNNNNNNNNNNNNNNNNNNNNNNNNNNNNNNNNNNNNNNNNNNNNNNNNNNNNNNNNNNNNNNNNNNNNNNNNNNNNNNNNNNNNNNNNNNNNNNNNNNNNNNNNNNNNNNNNNNNNNNNNNNNNNNNNNNNNNNNNNNNNNNNNNNNNNNNNNNNNNNNNNNNNNNNNNNNNNNNNNNNNNNNNNNNNNNNNNNNNNNNNNNNNNNNNNNNNNNNNNNNNNNNNNNNNNNNNNNNNNNNNNNNNNNNNNNNNNNNNNNNNNNNNNNNNNNNNNNNNNNNNNNNNNNNNNNNNNNNNNNNNNNNNNNNNNNNNNNNNNNNNNNNNNNNNNNNNNNNNNNNNNNNNNNNNNNNNNNNNNNNNNNNNNNNNNNNNNNNNNNNNNNNNNNNNNNNNNNNNNNNNNNNNNNNNNNNNNNNNNNNNNNNNNNNNNNNNNNNNNNNNNNNNNNNNNNNNNNNNNNNNNNNNNNNNNNNNNNNNNNNNNNNNNNNNNNNNNNNNNNNNNNNNNNNNNNNNNNNNNNNNNNNNNNNNNNNNNNNNNNNNNNNNNNNNNNNNNNNNNNNNNNNNNNNNNNNNNNNNNNNNNNNNNNNNNNNNNNNNNNNNNNNNNNNNNNNNNNNNNNNNNNNNNNNNNNNNNNNNNNNNNNNNNNNNNNNNNNNNNNNNNNNNNNNNNNNNNNNNNNNNNNNNNNNNNNNNNNNNNNNNNNNNNNNNNNNNNNNNNNNNNNNNNNNNNNNNNNNNNNNNNNNNNNNNNNNNNNNNNNNNNNNNNNNNNNNNNNNNNNNNNNNNNNNNNNNNNNNNNNNNNNNNNNNNNNNNNNNNNNNNNNNNNNNNNNNNNNNNNNNNNNNNNNNNNNNNNNNNNNNNNNNNNNNNNNNNNNNNNNNNNNNNNNNNNNNNNNNNNNNNNNNNNNNNNNNNNNNNNNNNNNNNNNNNNNNNNNNNNNNNNNNNNNNNNNNNNNNNNNNNNNNNNNNNNNNNNNNNNNNNNNNNNNNNNNNNNNNNNNNNNNNNNNNNNNNNNNNNNNNNNNNNNNNNNNNNNNNNNNNNNNNNNNNNNNNNNNNNNNNNNNNNNNNNNNNNNNNNNNNNNNNNNNNNNNNNNNNNNNNNNNNNNNNNNNNNNNNNNNNNNNNNNNNNNNNNNNGGGUUUGGCGCCCGCCGCCGCUCGCCUGAGGCCUUGCCCGCGAGGAGAGGAGGCCGGCCGGUGCCCGAAGCCGCCCCCGACCGGCCCGCUCAAGCCCGCCCCCGACCGCCCGGCCGCCGCCCCGCCCGUCCUCGCCCCCGGCCGGCUCCAGCGCCCGCCGCCGCCCGCCAGAGGCCGCCCGCCGCCGCCCGCGCGGAGGCCGGCCGGUGCCCGAGCCCACCCCCGCUGUUGUGCCCCUCCGGCCGGGCCCCCGCGCCCGUCCUGCCAGGAAGGCGGCCGCCUCGCCUAGGCCCCCACAGCCAGCCCACCAGGAAGGCGCCCACCUCCGGCCAGAGGCUGCCCGCGGCCUCCCCGCCCCCGACGUUGUGCGCCCUCCCUGCCCGGCGCCCGACCUCCGCCGGUGUGAAGGACUCAGGUAGAAUCUAGCUAGAAUUUAGAUUGUUAGGUAGAAUUUAGAUAGGUAGAUGAAAAUAGUUAGAUAGAUAAAUUAGAAUUAGAUUGUUAGGUAGAAUUUAGAUAGGUAGGUAGAAUUGGUAGAUGAAAUAGUUAGAUACAUAAAUUAGAAUAGUUAGGUAGGAUUGUUAGAUAUGAAAACUAAUUUAUUUUGGUAACUUAUUUUUAUUUUUAUGAAUUGCAAUGAUAGAAGGAAUAGAGAAUGCUUGUGACACUAUUUAACUAGAUGGAUGUCCAAUUUUGUUUACGUAGUUAGAUGUAUAGUUAGUUACAUAGUAAACUAGUUAUUAUGAUAUUUUGUUAAGUAGUUGCACAUAUUAGGUGAUAUAGUUAGCUAGUUUUAUGAUAUAGUUAGCUAGUUGUAUGAUAUAGUUAGUUAGUUGUAUUUAGUAGUUAGUAGUCAAUUGAUACUAUCUCAUUUCAUACUAGAGAUCUUGUACUUAGAAUGCUUCAUUUAUUAUGCACUAAAUGAAUUGUGCGUCGUUAUAUUGAUGUACUAGAUGGAGAACGUAGUGAGCAUAUAUCACGGAGGCACCGUGGAAAAGGAUGAAUAUGGAUGUGUUAAGUUUGUUGCCAUGCAGUGCGAGGUUGUGAUAUUUGAUGAGAAACCUUCGUUUAGUGAGUUGCUUUCAAGGGCUCGGGAGGAGCUACAUUGUCAUGGAGAUGAUGAAAUCACAGUCGAGGGCAUACUUCACCUAGGUUCCCCUCUCAACAUUCAAAAGAAGAUGGUCCCAAUUCGGUGUGCAGGCCAGUGGGAAAAAUAUGUGAGAACGGUUAUGAAUGGUCAUUCCCCAAGUGUUGAAGUGGUUGUUUGUCGGGUGGGAGUUGAUCCAAAUCCUUGUCGGUUUUCCCGACCAAUGGGUCAACUGGUACACUUCGAUCCUCCCGUCCCAGAACCUGUUAUGGACGUGGAUGUUGCACCUACUAUUCCCGAUGUUGAAUCUGCCUCCAAUGAAGUAGUUGGACAUGGUUGUCGGAUUGUUGAUGAUGUGGCGAUGCCCCGGUUCUCAGUACUGCCAGAAGAGGUGCUGCACCCACUCAGAAUGCGCUUAGGGUCGGCCAAAUGGAUGUGAUGCUCGGCGUGCAAGCCACGGGAGGCAUGGCGUACGGAGCUGCCACUGCUGCUGUGAACCCUGAGGUCUUGUACCACGCAGGUCCGGAGCUUGAGCAGCUGAACCCUGCAUGGUUCCCCCACGUCCAGCACGACGGCAUGCACCACCACGGAGGAAGCGGUGGCACCGGCGUGUACUUGCUGGGGAUGGACGGUGGCGCUGGCGCGCACGCUCACGGCGGCGGCGGCUAUAUGACUGGACCACCAAUGGUAGGCCCCGUGCACCCUGAGUAUGAGCUGAUGCCUGCAGUUGUGUCCCCUGUUGCUGUCUGGAGCGAUGGGGGGAGCGCCAUGGUGCCUGCAUUAGGGCAUCCGGCUGAGACUUGGGGACCGGCGUACGUGGAGCACGUGUACUAUGCCUGAUCGCCUGAUUUGCAGUUGCAACGCUUGUCGCAUUGUCUGAAAAUUAGCAUCUCUUGUUGUGUUUUGCACUUUUGCUUGACUCACAACUCUGCCCUGGCUAUGCUUGGAGGCUGUACAACUCUGCCCUGUCUAUAUCACUUUGUCUAUCAGCGAAUGUGCGGCGCGUGAAUGUUUCGGAGCAUCUAUUGCGUAUGAUAUCUUUAACGAUUUGGAGUUGGAGCAUCCGUUUGCUCUGUUUUUUUUCUUCCAACUUCAAUUCAGUCUUGUAACGACGCUGCAGCGUGCUCGCUUCUAGGAUGGAUUCUGUGUCACCUUUGCGGCCUUAUCAUGUAUGGUACCUGAACGAAAUUCGUGUGCUAUUUUGUUAGCUGAAUUAUCGUGAAGAAGCAGAACGAACCUAGGUAAAAGCCGGGGCAUUCCUUUGGCCGGAAUCUGAAACGGGAACCGGGGCAUGGCCAGAGGCUUCGGUGCAGAGCCCAGCUUCGACGCAGCGAAUACCUACCCCCCCAGCUCGACUCCGGCGUCCGCUCGUGGCCGCCGGCGUGACCAGUGACGAUGUGGGCCAGCACAUAUAAGCACGGGGCGUUGCGAGGCGGCAUGGGAAUGGUUACAGAGUGGAUCGAUUGAGCACCACAGCUCCCAUCCCCACAUGUAAGAAUUAUUGCUAUCAAACAAAUGUAGUAACUAUGGAUAUAUGAGGGCAUGCGAGUGGAUUCUGUGAAGCUUGAAGGCGUAUUGAUCAGUUGAUUUUGUCAUGCUCAUCCACAGAGAGGAACAAAUACUUCAAGAAGCUUGUGUGGUAGUUCUGCUAAUUAAGGAUACAUCAUCUAAUUUUCUGGACAUGGUCAGGAGGGUAGUCAUCUACACUCUCCAGCUGAGUUUUUGUCAGUUAUUGUCAUAAAAAUAUGAAAAAAGUUGGGAAGUUGAACCUUUUUCCAACAUCUCACCGCAAGCGCAUGCGACAACUGCUGAAGUCCAGGUAUGUAGUAGUCAUUCUACAAGUGCUGAAUGUGCCCUGAGAUCUUUAUAAAGAUGAACCAGUACUUUGCACUUUUUUUAGAAACUUGCACAAAGUCUAAUUGGAUAUUUGGGGUAGGCAAGUGUGCAUUAAUGAUAAAUUUGGAUUCGAUUAAUGGAAGGUAAAUAUUACCUUAUCUCCCAAAACAAUGAACAUGCCUGUUAUCAUGGGCAUUAGGCUAGUCCCAAUGCAAGGUUUCAUUGCACUAUUUUCAAGGAUGCCACAUCAUCUCAUGAGGUGUAUUCUCAUGAAUGAAAUCGGGAGUCCCAGUGCACAGUUUCAUUUCACGAUUUCAUAGGAUGCCCAUGACAUUUAAUUGUGAGGCAUGUGAUUGGAUAUGGUUAGAUAAAAUGAAACUCUAUAGCCCCCAAUGCAAGUUUCAAUAGGUUUCAUAGUCUUGGAAACAGUGUAUACACAGUUUCAUCCUGAUGAAACUCCUUCCCUCUCUCACUUCAUAACUAUUAUGCCAUGUCAUCAUAUAUGCUGAUGUGUUACCGUAUUUAAUGUGCAUGAAACCUCUAUGAAACUCCCACUGGGAUUAGCCUCAGGAUGAAACUGUGUAUACACUGUUUCCAAGACUAUGAAAUGUCAUCUCUGGAUGAUGCAACCAAAUUAAUGUAUAUAUGUCCGGUAAUUAACGUUGUGUUUAAAUUUUUUCGGUGCCGGCAAAACAAGGCGUCUCCAAAAGGUAUGUCUUUUAGUCACCGUGUCACUGUAACAUUAAUCAGUUUAACAUUCAAAUGAGUGAAGGGCAUCUUAGCAUGGUAAUUUCAUGCCUACUUGGCACUUUUGGCAACGUGCAAGAGUUUUUUUGUCUUCGAUUCCGGAGCCAUACUAGCGCACGCGAUCCGUGGGCCUCGCAAUUCUAUGCAUAUAUUAAGUAAGGUACAGGCACAGUUGCUUUUCAAAAAGCAACUGCUCUGCAAAUAAUCGUUGAUGACUUCACCAAGUCAACGUCUUCGUCUUAGCCGGGCGCUCAUUCCACUAGCAAGGUACUAAGCAGUCAUCUCUAGUCCAAAACUCAAGUAUCCUUGCUGCUAUCAGUGAUCCCUGCUUGUUUGCUUUCUCUUUUUGACCUUUUCCAAGUCCAAAUGCUCCACAUGCUUUGCCUGAAAGAGGGCACUGCUUGGAAUGUGGACUUAUUGUAUGGACAUGUUGCCUCGGCCAUUCCACUAAACAAUGAUUUUUAUGAAAAAUCCCAAAAGGUGUGAGUUUUCGUGUUAAGUCUAAAAUGAACCUUCGCAUAGUCCCAGGUCUGGUCAGCACAGAUUGACGACUGUGAGGGUCGGAGACCCUAUUGAUAUAUUUGCUUCGUGCAAACUUUCCUGGGGUAAUAUCCGCGAGGCGUAUGAUAGUAACCUUAUUUGGAUCCUAGUAUAUUUGUGGAUGGACCUUGAUAUAUAGCUAGUAAACACUAGUAGGGUCAGCAAAGCAAUACAAUUAAUGCUCAUGUGUUAUGAUUCCUUCUACUACUUGUUUAAGACUCCAUGACACUGAAGAUAAUUUUAGGAUGUUCAUUCCAUAUAUACCCACUUGCCACACUUUAGCACAACCUGUAUGACCUUUAACCUAAUCAUGCGACAGAAUGAUCACUUUAUAGCACCAAACUGAAAUUUGAUACAUUGACCUCACAGAAGUCGUCGUCUAAUCCUGAGGCUGAAUCGACUUAACCUUUAAAUACCACCCCAUCAGUACUGGUUCAAUAUGGUAUUAUAUUUGUAGUUUGAUUAAUGGCACAUAUAGUAUUACGUCUUGGAAUGAUUGAUGGACAUACGGAUAGUUUUGUAUGUAUAAGGUUGUUGAAGUGAUAAAAAUAUUAAGUCAUCGUGCAUAUACAACGGUCGGUAAAGACAUCUCGAACGCCAAAAUCAUCAAUCUUUUGUGUGUGUUUGUGUAUAUAUAGUACUUUAUUACAUCUUUGUAAUAUCAUCAGAUUAAAUCUAGCUUUGUCCAUAUAGUCUCCAAAAGGCAUGUCUAGUCAUGGUCACUCUAACGAAACUACCUGCACGGUGAAGUCUUCAAGCCCUGAGUCGCUACGAGAGCCUCCGAUCAGUGAGCCUCGCAAGUCUAUAUACCCAAUCAUGCAUGCGAUAGGUCGAAUGCCACUAUAGUUAGCACUUUAUAUAACCAAACUGAAUUUGAUACCUUGAGCUAUGGUUAGUUUACACCUAAUCCCAAGGUUAAGUACCACCUAUACCUAGGUUCAUUGCAUUUUUCCACGAGCAAAGUACAGCGUUAACAAAUUGAGUGUUUUGGAAUCAAUGCUCCACGCAUCUCUUCAAGUUGAAGGGUGGCUUCAACUUGUGCCGUGAGCAAGUUUAUUUAAUGAACUAAGUUGAAACACUGCAUCAACCGGCGUGGACGCACACCAUGGUACGAGCAGGAAGACUUGAAGGUUACCACCGUGGACCAGAUCUGGCACUGCAAGGGAAAUCUGCUCACCGAUGAUCGGGGUAAUGCGCUCAAGGACUUGUGCCUCUCUAUGGCACUCUCAAAGAUGCUCAACCGAAGGUUUGAUGGGUUCAAGCUCUCUAAGGCAGAGCUUCAGAAAACCCAUGACUUCGUCUUCAAAGGCCUUCUCGCCGGGGACGAGCCACAUCUGCGGGCCUUCAGGGUUAUUGAGGAGGAGCUUGUUUUUGUCCAUGACAUGUAUUACACAAGGUACUCUUACCUUUACCAAAAGGGUAAAUACCUGGCUCUCUGUCUGCCUGUCAUCAUGAUUGCCCUAUGCUCGUGGCUCACAGUAGCCUGCCUGGACGUCAAGUAUCAGGACGACCGUUAUCGCAGUAAUCAUGGCAAGCGCAGUCUGAUGUCUGAAACCAUAGUCAUAAUGGUUGUCUUGGCAUUCCUGGAGGUAUACCAGCUGUACCUGUACAUAGCCUCAGGUUGGUUUAAGGUGGCACUGAUACGGAGCUACGUCGCCGCACCUUAUUUCCAAACAAGCUGUUUCUCCGAGAUGAUCAUACGUCUUCUCUUGAUAUGGAAGGCGUUUCGCCCAUGGAAGGGCAGACUUGGGCAGUACUGUUUCCUGGAAAAUCUUGGCCGCAGAAGUAAGCUUAUGAGUUGUCUCCAUUAUGGUACACUGGGCUUGCUGGACAAGGCCAUGAAGGGAAGGAAGAAUUCAGUGAAGCUGUCCGAAGAUGUGAAGAAAGCCAUCAUUGAUUCCCUACUAGAAAGCAAUGGAGUCCUGACGAACGGCGUAACAUCGCUGCAAAAGAAUGGCGUCCAUGAUGACCUCAAAUGGCCAUGCGAUGCCACGGCUACUGACGGAGCGGUGGCUCGCACCAUUGUGGUCUGGCACAUUGCUACAACCCUGUGCGAGCAGAAGCUGGAUAAACAAGCCAAAGAAGAAGACGCUGUCAAAACAGCCUCCACUUUAUCCAAGUACUGCAUGCAUCUCCUUGCUUUUGCACCUAACCUCUUGCCCGACCACAGCUCCAUAUCGGAAUCCAUACUUGAUCAGUCAAUCGAUGAAGCAAGCAAGUUACUCAAAGAGGGCAAGAACAAGAAGAUCAAGGGCAAGGACAAGAAGAUCAAGGGCAAGAACAAGAAGAUUUUGGGAAGGUGUGAGAUACUAAUGGAAACUACUAAUACCGAUGGUUGUGUUGAUGAUGAAACAAGGCUUGUUGCGCAGGGCGUUCACCUUGCAAGGCAACUGAUUGAUAACAUACAAGACUCCACAACAAGGUGGAAGGUGCUAUCUGAUUUCUGGGCGGAGAUGAUGCUGUAUGUCUCGCCAUCCGAUGAUGCUCGGGACCACCUGGAAGUUCUUGCAAAAGGAGGGGAAUUCAUCACGCACCUUUGGGCGCUGCUCACGCAUGCCGGUGUGCUGAAGAGAGGCCCUACAGAGCCAAUAGAUGCUGUCUGAUCUUUCCAACUUAACCAGUGCACACGUAGCAGUCCAUAUAUCUACCUAGUGCUUGUAACAUUCUAUGUAUAUUGCCAACUGUCAUGUUUGGACACACCAACUUGUGGCACACCAUGUGUGAGUUAGUCUACCGAGGUCUGUAUCUCUUUUCAUGUCGAGUCUGUAUCUCUUUUGAUGUGGUGUCUGUUGUCAGAUUUUGGGCAGAGUAGGAUCUUUAGUAUCUGCAAGUUUUGUUAAGAAGAGCGCGCUUUCAGGUUGUCGGACAUGCGCUUUCAUAGUUUGUGAUUUUGGUGAUUAAUAUCAAAACACGAUCAUUAGGAGUGUCUAGAACAUGCCUUGAAGGUAUUCUAGGUUCUAAGGAAACAACCACAACCAAAGAUAAGAAAAGGAACGAAGAAAUCCAAGGAAACGGAUCAUCGGAUGUUCCGAUGGCCCUAGAGAUGGCGACGGAGCAAGCGUCGGAGUAAAUGGUACACUGCAAAGAAGUUCGGGCAGAGUCCACAAUCGGAUGUUCCGAUGGUUACAUUUCUAGUAGCGUCGGAUGAAUUCUGAGGGGUAGGCUUGAAAGCAUGUGUUGGAUGAUGUAAGCAUGCAGUCUUUGGAUGAUGCAACCAAAUUAAUGUAUAUAUGUUCGGUAAUUAAUGUUGUGUAUAAAUUUUUUUCCGUGCCAGAAAAACAAAGUGUCUCCAAAAGGCAUGUCUUUUAGUCACAGUCACUGUAACUGAAUUCUUUGCGUAGUUUGUUGUUGCUUAACUGCACACAUAAAUCAGUUUAACAUUCAAAUGAGUGAAGGGCAUCUUAGCAUGGUAAUUUCAUGCCUACUUGACACUUUUGCAACGUGCAAGACUUUUGUUGGUCUUCGAUUCUGGAGCCAAAGCUACUAGCGCACCCGAUCGAUGGGCCUCGCGAUUCCAUGCCAAAUCACGUGAUAGAAUGCCACUAGUUAGCACUUAUAGCACCAAACUGAAUUUGGUGCCUUGACCUAGGAUUAGUUUACACCCAAUAAUCCCAAGUUUUUUAUGUACCGCCAUAUAAAAUGCAAUUUAUUAAAACUGGUGAUGAAUGUGAUGCGACAAAAAUAUAGUACUUUUAUAUUGAUGUGUCAUCAACUUGGUGAUCAUUCCGAGUUUAUCAAGAUUCCAACCUUAGAGUUUGGAGGGGCUCUUUCUUCAAAGAUUAUUAACCCAGGCACGAUGGCAGACAUACAAUUAAUUACUGCAUGUGUUCUAGUCAGUAGGAUGGGUUAUCAGGUUUAUUAAAUACGUACUGAGGCGUAGCAUAUAUUGCAACUAGCAACAAUUUUAGCUUGUCAUCUUAAUUGUAUGUUUGCUUUCCAUGCAUUGUUCAUAUACCGUAUUUAGAUAGCAAAUUUUGCUCUUGCUCGUUUGAAGGUAAUCCUAUAUGUAUCCACGAGACAUAAAGUCGCUGAGCUUCGUCAGUCCAAAACGCACUAACUAGUUAGGUUGAGUGUUAGCAGUUUCCAUUGACAUACGAUCACCUAGUCUGGCAGCUAGAACGUGCGUGGAGUAAGAGUUAAGUAAGUUACAUACACACUGUUGUGACCCGAAACGUAUGAGAGUAGAUCAUCAUCAUUACAGUUGGAUGGAACUCUCUAUUUAUAGCCAUAGCGGCAGGCAUUUACAUUCCACAAAUGCCCCACCUCAACCACUAUAUUCCCGUUAUAUGCUCUACACAAUGGUCAUUUGGACAUCACGUUUUUUGUGCCACCUAACAGUUCCCUGAUUGACGCUCACUUAUCACCUCCGCGAAUCUCGGUAGGGUUGUCCGCACCUUUUUCCGUGUUCUUCAUCGUCGACGGCGACUAACUAUGGCACCAAGUUUGUCAUGUUUAGUGAAUCUAGAUAAGGACCUGGAUGUAGAAGCAAUGAUCGAAGAUGAGCUAAAAAAUCUGUCUGACAGUACAAGAAGAGGGAGCAGGAUUACCAAUCUGAAAGAACAGAGUUAUAAAAGGUCAUCAGACCCGCUGUUGGGGCUAAGGAAGAUAGGGAAUGGAUCCCGCUUCUGGCCAUUAACAGAUGAGGUAAGCUCGGAAGAUGAGCUUGAGGAUGACAAUUCUGUUGAAAAUGGAGAGGAUGACAGCUAUGCUGAAAUUGGAGAUAAAAAACCCCAUCUGACUUCAAUGGGAUGUAACUCAGAAACAUUACCAAGUAGUAGGAGUAUGGUGAUGGGAUACAAAAUCAAAAUCCCACAUAGGGCUAAAGAGAAAGGCAGUGGUAAAACAAGAGUUACUAAUAAGAAAAUCAAAACAUGGAAAGGUCCAUUGCCAAAAAGAGAUCAAACACCGAAAUUGUCACUAGGGGACAUGUGGGUGAAGGAUCUUAGGACAUAUGUGCUGCCAAAAGAAAACAUACGUCUUAAUUCAUUCUUGGAUGGUGAAUCAAAAGUUCUGGUAGCCGAUGAAGUUUCUGUUGAAGAAAGCACAUUUGCAAAGGAUACAAAGGAGUUUGAAUUUCAAAAUGAACAGUUGGUUAACCUUCAAGGACCAAUAAGAUGGGUUGGAUAUACUGGUUUUGUACACGUGGGAGCACAUUCAGUUUUCCAAUGCAUUGAUAGUUUGGGACGACUCCUUAAAAAUGGAGAAUUGAGGUGGAGACCUCAACCCAAACACAACCACAAACAAAUUCACAGAACAAUCCCCUCGAAGAAACAGAAGAGGAACUAGCCUCGGCCCUCAAACAGCUAAAAGCAUUGAAGAAGGAGAGCAGAGGGAGGGAGAGGAUAAGGGACCGGAGGGCCGGUGCACUAAAUUUAAAAGCCGGAGGGAGGUGAGGCGCGGAUGAAGGUACCUUUUAAUACCGGGUGGGGGUUCCACCUGGUACUAAAGGGUCACCUUUAGUGCCAGGUGGAGCCUCCACCCGCUACUAGGGCCUUUAGAGGUGUUGGAGUGGACACUUGUUGUCAGUUUACACAAGAUCUCAUGGCCAAGCUGAACUUAGGAUAAAAAUUAAAUACAAAAAGAAAAAUAAUUACUCAUAGUUUCCUCAGCUUGAAUAUUUGCACUGAAAAAAAAAGCUUUCACGCUGUCAAGAGGGAGUGAAAAUGAUUAGUUCUGUCGGCUGUUGCGUAGUGCUUUAAUGUCAGCUGCUUAAAAAAAACAUGUUGGAUGCUGAUCUUUAUUAUCACAUAUUAACAGGGCAAGUGGUAGUAUGUUAUAAAGAUUAGUCGUGACAUCAUUAGGAAUGAGAUGAGUCCGCAGUUGGCUGAAGUUGGAAGCAAGGAAUUUGUGUAUGUAUAUGUGUGUGUAUAUAUAUAUAUAUAUAUAUAUAUAUAUAUAUAUAUAUAUANNNNNNNNNNNNNNNNNNNNNNNNNNNNNNNNNNNNNNNNNNNNNNNNNNNNNNNNNNNNNNNNNNNNNNNNNNNNNNNNNNNNNNNNNNNNNNNNNNNNNNNNNNNNNNNNNNNNNNNNNNNNNNNNNNNNNNNNNNNNNNNNNNNNNNNNGUUUGCAUCUGGAACCGCAGUUUCCAAUUCCGCCGCCGUAUGCCCCUUCGCCGGACGCAGCGAUGCCCAGGGGAGGACGAUGCCGCUGUCCCGCCGGAAGCAACGCCCAGAGGACGGUGACGCCGCGACCCCGCCAACGUCUACUGCGUCUUCUCGGCCAACGUGAAACGCCGUGCUGUCCUCACGUUCUACGAAGAAGACGUUGACGCCCUGGGGUGGUUCCGCGCAGACGAGCAGGGACGGCCGCCGCUGUUACCGUCGUAAACGCGAGGACUGCUGCCUGUGCAGUCAUCAACGAGGAGAGGGGCUCCCGCAGAUUUCAGAGGUGGGCAGCGGAUGGCAUCCUCGUCAACGAAGGGCUGCUAUGCAUUCAGUUUGGUCAGUCAAACAGCCACUUUCAUACAGCCACUUUCCAAACUUUGAGAUGUAAUUCAAAUAUUCAAACCGAAUUUGACUUGACAAAGAGCUACUUUCAAUUGUUGACUAUGUAUCAUAGAUCCCAUUUUGCAUGUUGAUGCCCAUCAUUUACAUAUAGAGUGCAUCAAAAUAUUGAGCCAACGUCAGACCAAUGUUCACUAUCUUGAGAGUCGGACUCCAGGGUUCAGACUACUGAAAGUGAAAGAGAUAGCCCAUGCAUCAGGUUGUAGUUGCAGUUUGAACGUACAAGUUCAGUAUGCAAUAGUAUGCAGGUAGUAUUAUCCAAUGUUCACUGUCUUAAUGUACGGUCUUCAGAGUGGGAAUGGUCAUUGCCAUUCAGUUUAGACAAUGAACUCUAGACAGUGCAACUUCCAAGCUUUGAGCUCCAAACAAAUUUUUUUCCAGAUUGUUGUUGUGUCAUUGAAUAUUUGUACAAACUCUGAAUCGACGAAAUACAGUUCUCUAAUGGAUAUGCAUUGUGUUGUUACCUUUCAGACCACCUUGCCAGUGAUGGGUUGUCGGAGGAUAUUGUUUGAAGAAGCAGGGCCGUCCGCGCCGAGUAGGGACUCUGCGGAUAGCCCUUCACCGAAAAGGCUGGAGAUGAACGACAUGAGAGUCGCCGUCGACGUGAGAAAUACAGAAGUGCCGGAAAGGUCACCGCCACGAUCUGAACCGUCCUAGCUGGGAGAACGAGACACUAUUGACUCCUGCAUCAAAGUUCCAGAGAUGUUGGAGAGCUCCAACACUGGAUUUCGAACUCUGCCCACACAGAUAGGUUGCCAGCAAGGGAGUAAUGAGGAUCAAACCAUUACAACGGGAAGACAGGGUGUUGUGUUCUCGCCUCCGGAUACUUUGAACGCAAACCAGAUGAUUGCUAGUGAAGAAGAAAUUCCACCACAAACACACGUAAGUGAUGCAUGAUAAAUCUUUGUUUGAAUUGUACAAAGCAGUGAUAUGCAUAGUUAAAAAGCACAAAUGCAUGAGAGUAGUCAGUGAAAAUUUAUAUUAUGUCAUAUCUUUAAGGCUGUGAUGAUAAUUGAAUUUUCUACGCAAAUAUUGAUUCAUAUGACGGUGCAUUAGUAUAUGAUGUUAAUUGAAAUUAAUGUUAUUUGAAGCAGAAUGAAAGCAUGGAUCCAAAUAUGGUACCCAGAGAAGGGAUGUCAUUCCACACGGAAGCUGAAGCAAAGGCGUUCUACAUGAGAUAUGCACAACUGGCCGAGUUCGGCGUGAAAAUGUGCAACAAGAAAAAAUUCUCUAGAGUGAUGAGGUGUAGCUGUGAAAGAAAAGGAGAUUUUUAUAAAGGUGAUGAGGCUCUGCGAGUACGGAACAAGACAACAAUGAAGACGAAGUGCAAAGCUCAUCUGAAGUUUACGAGAGUGUAUGACAGUGAAGGCAACGAAGUAGAUAUGAUUAUAGAAAAGGCAAACCUAUUUCACAACCACCUGUUGCAUACGCCUUUGAAAACCAAGAAAAUGAGGUCACACAAGAGCACGAAACUAGUACUUUAUCAAAUAAUUGAUGAAUUGUAGGAAGCCGGCGUGAGUACGCAAAGUAUAAAGAAUGUAUUGCAAAAUAUGCAUGGGGGUGCAGAGCUUGUUCCGAUAACAUCGCGGGACAUAGAGAACAUGUAAAAGAACCUCACACAGUUUGUUAUUCCUAAAUAGUAAGGUUCAUGCCAAGCUAAAGUAUAUAAUCAUUGGUGUCGUUAAUGAAAUGUACUUACAAUUUAGAAGGAUAAAAUGUUGAGUUUUUUUAACCUGUUUUACAGGAAGGCCACUAAUGUACGGGAAGAACACGCAAAUGACAUAAACAAGCUUAUUGAAUUCUUCAAGGAUUGUGAGGCUCAAAACCCACAGUUCCGAUGGGAACCCAAGCUGGACUCUGAAGGUGUUAUACACAGCUUAUUCUGGAGUCAUGCAAGCAUGCAGGGCAAUUGUGCAGAUUUUGGUGAUGCAAUGAGCUUUGACACAACUCAUAAGACUAAUAUUUAUGAGAAACCACUAGCAAUGUUUGUUGGAUCAAACCACCAUCUGCAGAAUACAUUGUUUGGAUGUGCAUUGGUAGGAGAUGAAACAGCUGAAACUUUUGAAUGGGUGUUCAAAGCAUUCAAAAAGUGCAUGGGACAAAGUAGAACAAGGUGUAUCCUCACAGGUAAUAUGUUCAUCAUUGAUGUUUAUGAUAAAAAUAUUUGAUACAUGAGCAUAUACAACAAUUUAGAGCAAUUAAAGAACUAACAAUGAUGAAUUUGCAUCUUGUGGUAGACCAAGACCAGGCAAUGGGAGUGGCGAUUGCCAAAGAGUUCCCAGGGGUUGUUCAUAAGAUUUGCAGAUGGCAUGUGGUGAACAAGCACAUGCCACAUCUAACCAACCUCUUUGGGAUGUAUGCGAAGAAAAAUUUCAAGGACAAAUUUUAUUCUGUGCUAAACCACCCACUCACCCCUGUGGAGUUUGAGGCCGCUUGGCAGGAACUAUUGGAUCAGUUCGACCUACAAAAGGAUAGCACUUUAGAUAGCCUUUACUGCCAGCGAGAACUGUAUGUGCCGGCAUAUUUCAAAGACCAAUAUUGUGGCCGGAUGGCAUCGACACAGAGAAGCGAGAGCUCAAAUUUUGUUCUAAAGAAGUGUUUUGUUGACAAGCACACGGCUUUGCACAGGUUCGCCAAAAAAAUGCUUGACUUCAUGCAUUCACGUAAGAUGAAGGAGUCUAAAGAGUCGUACCAUGGAACGGUAACGUAACCAGCGUGUCAAUUCAUAUUUAUGGAGUGCGUGUAUAAAGAUCAUUUCCCUUAACUAACUGUUGCGCUUGUACUGUGACAGAGCAAAAGGCUCACAAGAAGCAAGUGGCCAUUUGAAAUACAGGUUUCACGAAUUUAUACUAGAAAUGUGUUCAAAGACUUUGAAAAGAAGAUGAUCGAUUGCACAGUUUUCGAUAUAGAAGACAAUCCAAUAGAGGGUGAAUCAUGCUAUCUGGUAACUCACACAAAUAGGUCUUCUAAAAUAUCUUGGGGGCAGCACCAGUUCAAAGUGCGUGCAAACAAAGAAAAUGGCGAGUUUCAUUGCGAGUGCAAGGAGUGGCAGCAUACAGGUACAUGAUAAAACUAUUACAAUAUUUAUAGCGUACAUCCCAAUUUCUUAUUAACAGUACAUAUACUCUCUUGGUUGUUUAGGUUUGUUCUGCGUGCACUUGUUGAGAGCCUUCAUGAGGAUCCAGCUAAAUAGAAUACCACAACAUUACAUUCUCCGUAGAUACACAAAAUAUGCACAGCAGGAGUUGGGAUUCGACAGGAAUGACAAGCUCCAAGUUGGGGCUGAUGGAGUCACACAGUUGUACAGACUCAAAGAUCUAACGUCCCUAGCAAUGGUUGCAGUCAGGUCUGGGAGCAUGUCGCGCGCUGCGCACAUUAGAACGAGAGAGGUGUUGGCAAAUCUUGACAAAGAUAACAAAGAAAUACCCCCUGACAUCGGGCCAAGCACAACAAACAUGCACCAAGAAUCACCUGGAGAGGUAAAAAUUCUAAAAUGUUGCAUGAAGUGUAUGUUGCAUGGCAAGGCACUUAACCGCAUACAUCUGGGUUUGAUUUUGCAGGAGUUAUCAGAUUGUAGUGAAAGUGAUGAUGACUAUGGUGACAACACAAAUGAUGAACAAUUGGCGAAAAGGGUUACCCAGAUAGGCUUGUAUCAUGAUACAGGUGUAUGCGAGUUACCACACUAGGAAAAAAGAUUUGCACAAUAACAAUGACACAAUGUGAAGCAGGAAUUGGGACAAGCAAACGUGGAUGGAAAUGAAGCUAGAGAGAGUAUAAAGGGGAAAAUGGUUCUUGCAGCAAAUCUGGUAUGAUUUGUCAUGGAAGUAGUAUAAAUACGGGAAAUACACAAGUUAACUUGCAUAUCAGCAAGAAAUAUUAAAAGAGAUGUGUUAAUUGUUUUUCAGGAUGCUUUUGGUGGAGACUUUGUGCGCAACGAGGUUGUGCUAACCAACCAAACAGUCAUGACAACUAAAGAUGCAAGAGUGCAUGAAGGAUGUGCAACCCACAGUGGCGAGGUUAGAAGAAUGAGUUUGGAAAUAAUUAAUGCCAUCACCAUUGUUGCAUUGAAUUUAAAGUUUGUGCAAUAAUCUUUGCAGUAUCAUGCCAAUGAUGAUAGACUGAUCAGCCGAGUCCCACCUACGAGAGCCAAGACUAAAGGGCGGAGCAUACCACCAUCUGAAAAGAAGGAAAUUUCGUUGGGAGCCAAAGGUGUGAAAAAGGGCACAAGGAGAUGCAGUAUUUGUGGGUACUACGCAACACAUAACGCGAGAACAUGUCCCAAACUCCAGCAUAACAAAGAGCGCUUGGAAGUAUUGAAGAACAGAAUGAGAGGCAGGCCACGAGGAGCACAGCAUAAGAGUAGUGCCAGCCAGCAUGAUAGUGGAGGAGAAGAGCAUAACAUAGGGCGACAGCAGGACACAAAGAAGUGCCAAGAAAACAAAUAUAUUGAUUACGAGAGCAAUGACGAGCAGUUUUUGUGGGAUUCGUCCAGUGCUCAUUGUAUAUAAAAGGGCAUUGGAUGUCUCUGUAAUAGAUAGGGAACAUUGCCAGUAGUAGUUCCUCUGAGCACGCCUCCGUGUGCAAUGAUGCCUAAGCGCAGAGACAUGUCUUUUGAAGAAUACUGGAAUCAUUAUCGGCAACGAGCGGUCUUGAAGGAUGUUCCAGACAUUUGUGAAAGUAGUGAAAAAACAAAAGAAGAACGUGGCAAAGGAAAGGUAAUCAAGAAGAAAGAGAAUAAGGUCAGGUGUAUUUACUCGGAAUAAUGUUUUUGUUCAGUAAGUUUAUUUACUAGAUGUCACAUAUUUAAUUAUCAAAUGUAUCAUUAAAUAGGAAGUGGCAAAGCCCAUAGAAAAACAGACUUCGUUCCAAAAGGAACACGACAAAUUUAUGAGCGAUAUAAUAUUUGAGGAGAUGUGCCUUGUGGAAGGGGAGCUUCCGGACAAACUAGCGAGGAAUGGGACAACAGAAGGCGAGAUUAGCACGGUGAGUUUUGAGUAUUUGAAAAGAAUAUGAAGGACAAUAGAAAAAGAUUAUUAUAUUGAAGAAUUAUCAUAGUGUGGUAUAAUACAUUUGCAGAAUGGGGAGAACACGGAGGCGGAGGUUUCCAGCAAGAUUGGACGGUGAAAAACAACAUCAAGGAAGCCAAGUAGCGAUUAAAUAAUUUACUUAAUAAUCGAGUGCAUAAACUGAUUUUUGUAAUAAGAGUAAUAUUUUAAUAAGGCAUUACCCUUGUCAUUGUGUACAUUCUUGAGUACCGACCCCAGUAUGCGAAUUCUGAUCGUGGCGAUAGUCAAGGUGUGAGAAUAUGUAAGAAUUAGUGCAACGGAGAACAUCCCUAUGCAGUGUUAGGUCCAUGAUUUCAUUUGUGGUUGUUUGAGAAUGGAUCAUGUGAUGUUGCAGCGUGAGAAAUUCUGCCCCCUGAGAUUUUUCAACACACGCUAACAGGAGAAACUGAACAUUGGGUAACACUCAUAUGCAAUAUGAUAGCAGCUUCCUUUCAAUGAAUCAGUUUUGUUUCUCCGAAUAUCUGUGCUGCUUAAAGGCGUAGAGAUGUUUCUGUCCGUCCCUACCUCCCUCAAUGUGCUAAGAGACAAAGUCAGUAUUACCUAUAAUCGAGCUCUUGUUUUACUGUGGAAAUCUUUGGCGUAAUUUUCUAUAGAGUAACAGAGCAUCACACACACGGCAAGUAAAAGGCGUAUAUCCACAAAUAUGGCACUUCAGACAUACGACAAAAAGGAUGAAACCUUGUGCUACAUUACUGGUGUCCCAUUUCCAUUGCCGUAGCAACAUGAAACAAACGAUCAGUUUAUAAUAUACAAAAGACUAGAAAUAGCGAUAGGAAAGCUAGACGCAGCGGCCUCAUAAGAGAGGCAUACAUGCUUAAAACAGAACAAAGAGAUGCGUCGGGACUGUCGCAGCAGCAUUAAUACACAUCAAAAAUGAGGUAUUCACAUGUCAGUCACAAAACUAAGCAUUGUUCAUGUAUGAAUCAUGAGAAUGUACAAUAUGCACAGCUACAAAAGAAUAAAAAAUUAAAUAGUAAAGGGUUGUAAUGAACAAAAAAAAACUAAUAGAAAAAAGGGUGAUGAUCAUCUCGACGGUACUGAAGGAUUUCGUCGGGCAGCGCGACAACCUUGUUCUGCUUAUGAAAAGUGAGGUAAUACAAGGUCUCAGCACGCAACUCUUUUGAUCGUUCCUGAAAUUUAAAGACAUAUAGCCAUGAAAAGUAAGAAACUGCAUGCGAAAGGGUAGAGUCUUGGGAAAAGACUUACAGCAGUGAUGCUAGUGUGUAGUGAGCCAUGUCCAUCACCAUCAUAGAACUCGAGAAACUUCAUGGCAAAGAAUGCACUGUCCGACAAGGCCUUCUGGACGGCAACCUUGACCGGGACAUGUCUCCAGUUCUUGAAUGAUUUAAAUUUGAGAGGUGCAGCAAUGGAGAGAGCAUCACUUAGUCGGUGCAUGAUUUUUUUCCCAAAUUCCAAAUGAUACUUGUCCCAAUUGUUGUCACACUCAGGGGUGUACAACAUUGAGUCAAGCACAUCAAUCCGUGAUUGGCCAAAGUUAACGCAAUAAACAGACCAAUGGUGCUGAUGUAGAACUGGUAGAAGAAUCUACACAGUGUGUAAAAAGAAGAAUUGACUUAUUUUUGCGAAAAUAUAAUAACAAGGACUUAUCUACUUAACUAAAUUCACGAGUACAACAUAUGCUGAAGCUACUCAAACACAUAAUUAUGAAACCAGCAAACUCAUGGCCAGAUUGGAGGACCAGAAAAAAAUGGACAAAAGCUAACCAAAAAAAAUAGUAGAUGUACCAUCUUUGUCUUCUUCAAGUCUGUGAAAGGAAGACAACGUUGGAUGGCUGUCACUGCUGCAAACUGGCUAUAUUUGGGUUCGGAGCUGUCCCUUUUGUGCCACUCAACAUUGAGAAUUGCCUUCAAGAAAAGAAAUGCCAUGGAAUAAAAAAAGUAUGAAAGAAUGGAAAAAUUUUAAUAUAUCUAGUGUCAAAGAAUGGCAAAAUAAAAGCUUACUGAGAGGCCAGCAUCAAAAAAAAAUUCUGUAGCCAUGGCACUCGGAUCCAAUAAUCAUCAUAGCUAAGACAUUUGACAAAUCCUGUGAUAAAAGUUGAGUCUGGGAUUGCACCAUCGGCAAAUGAUUGUGCAAUCAUGUCACAAGUUAAAGGGGUGCUACCAAACUGGAUCACCGGCAUGCUGUGGAUAUUACAAUCAGCAAAUGGAGAAAUAGAAAGUUUGGCUAUUAUAAGAUUUAGAAAUGGACAAAAGCUAACCUUUUCAAUGUGGAGUCAUCAGCGCACAUGUGUCCAAAGAGACUCAUUGCUGCGUCCACAUUGGGUGCAGGACGGGACAUAAUUCCAUACUUGAAGGGUGAAGAAUAUUUAGCAGGCUUCCGUGUCAUGCGUUUCCCUGUUCUCUGUUCUGACACAUGUAAAGUGCCUGACACCAUGUUAUUUUGAUCCUUUGGAAAGGUCAAAAUAACAUUUAGUUGGAAAAUAAUUAGCUGGAAGGAUUGCAACUCGAAUCGAAUGGAGUGGGUGGUAAUCGUGUCCAGUUAAACAUACAGUUUUGGCCUGGUCUUCAAAUUGGGUAGUGCGUGAUGCAGGGAGAGUAUGCAUAGGAUUUGAUUGCUCUUCACAAUAGAUGGCAUCAAUGAGAUUGUUGAUUCUAUUCAUAUCAUGGUUGCUGUCAGGCAAACUAGAAUAGGGUGGUAUUAUAUGAUCUGAAAAAUUAAUUUCAUGAAUACAGCGUUAAGCAUGAACAGAAAUGACUCCUAAACAAUUAAAGGCUGAGCAUAUGGGUAACAAUCCUGACAGCUGCAUAUUGUAAUGUAAGCCUGGAUACAACCUGGAAAAGAGAUAAAGAGAAAAUUCAGACUACAUAAAGCUAACCUGAGCAAGUAGUAGUACGUGCAUGGUCGUCCCUGCAAGCUUCUUGAUGAGGUUUAGUGCAAGGUGUAGUGCCACCAGUUUUAGAUGUGGCGGGAUCUGUGACCAAGAUUUCCAAAAUAACCGCUGUUAAGCUUUUAUGGUAAAGGGUCAUUACCGAGCAUUUUGCUUGUUGUAGUAUGCGAUAGGCAGUACCUGUGGUGUAUGAGUUUUGGCCGUUGCCAUCCCUUAAUACGUCAUCUCUGUAGCAAGAACUUGGGGUCCUGAAAACACCGCCGUUUCCAUGCUCGAAUAGUUGAUCUACAGAAAGUAAUGUACAGAAAAAUAAGUUGAAACUUUCAGAAGCAAUUUGAUUAGGAAUUGAAAAAAAGUACAUAAUCAGAAUGGAUUGUGGGGAUCGAUGUGUGCCACCGUUGUGAGGAUCGACAAAGUCCUCUUCGAUGCCUGAGUUGUUCCUCCGUGAAGUGUCCCCAAUAUUGUUAGGAUCAGAAGCCGACCUCUGGGCAGCAAUAAGCUCCUCUAUUACCGGUCCACACUUUUCAGCUAGACGAUAAGGAGCUCUAGCAAUGUUGCAUAGAGAAGCUUGGAUGGCACAAGUGUUCUCAGAUAAGGUUUGGUUAAACUGGUCGAACAAUUCAUUAAAUGCUUGCAAGGGGUGACCAGUGAGACAACCCAAUGGAUGGGACAAGAGAUCACGCAAACGUGGAAUACGAAUCUUAGGGACAUUAGUCAUGUCAUCCAAACCAACAUUGAAGUUCCUGGGUCUUGGUGGAGCCUGGCAUGUAUAAUGAUGUGUAAAAUUGAGUAUAUACAAGGAAAAAGAAAAUGACACUAAAAGUCAACCAUGUAAAAUAUAAGGAAACUACAUGGAACAUAUGUCAGGUUUUAGAAGUGAGUAAUGUACACAGAGCAACUAGAAGAAUAAUACAACACCGGGAAUUACUGCAUAUAUAUGUGCAUAGAUAUUGUGUGUGUAUUUGUAACAUGACAAUUCAAUUUAAUAUUUGGCACAUACCUCUGUGCCAUCCUGGGCAAGGAAAUAAUCGGUUAAUCGCCUAGAAUUAUCAGCUGCACUAUUCUUUUCCUUUGAAGAGCGGUGAGAGGACCGAAACUUCUUCCUACGGCGAUCUACAACCCCGGUGCGAUCAUCAGAAGCAUUCCUCAUACGGCGAACAGAUUUAUUGCACCCCGGAUCAUGGUCAUCCGCAAUAAAAUCAGCGCUAGGAUCAUCAGGAACAUAACUCUGUUGAGGAACAUUUCGGUUGGGUAGCUGUUGAAAAGACAAUCCAGGGCCACCACCCACUGGAUAAGAUGAUCGCAACUCGGGUCGAAGAAGAACCUCGAACCUGAAGUGAGAAAAAUGAAAGUAUAAAGUAUAGACCAUGAAUCAAUGAAAAUACAGUGGACUACAGGAGAGGCGGUGAAAUUAUAAACAUGCGCAUACCUCUCCUGUGUGCUCUCGAAUACAGCUAGCUUCGGGUUGAUAGGCAUCCUAUUCACCAACCGCUGACAAGUAUCUGUCCUGGGAGACAAAUCAAAUUGAACAUACUCUGUGUCAGUAAUAAUGAAUACAAUGAGUGGUUAGGAUCCAAAUAUGUUGUAGUUGUUUACAUGGAAUAUUUACAAACUGAAAAGAAUAAAAUGAUGUAAACGUUAUGACAGGCUUGGGAAAGCGGUAGAGAUGAGAACACAGACAAAAAUGAGUCACAUAAGACCUUCUAGUUGAGCAGAUCCGUGGAGAACCUUGCUGAACACCUUCUAACUGUAAGGGAACCGUAUCUACACAUGGAAGAAAAUAAUUAGAGAGAACUACAAAAACAACUCUUUCUUUACUCGUUUUCUAAAGAUUUAGCAGAUACCUGAAGACUCCAUGAGUAGGUAUGAAAAUGAAGGAAACCACAGCUCGGAGGGAUGAUGGCAGAGCUGCCUGGCAUGGGGGAGGAAAAGAGAUGUUAAUAAAGUAUAAAAAGAGUUGUUUUCGAGUGCAUCAUUAAUAUCAUAUGAAUCCUGUUACCGUGGUGGUUCUAAAAUACCUUUCUGUUUUAUUCUUCAAAAAGGAUUGACUCCAAAAUAAGAACAAUUGAGCUUGAUGGUAGGCGCAUAAAGUUGAAGAUCUGGGAUACUGCUGGGCAAGAACGUUUUUGAACUAUCAACUGGUACGCAAUAUGCUUCGUUUGCUGUGAGGAGCAGGUUCUUUAACUAUUUAUGUGAAACUGCUCUGAAUCUACAAACUUUUGACUAUGCAGCCUACUACAGGGGUGGAAUGGGCAAUUUGCUUGUGUAUGAUGUUACUGACGAGUCAUCAUUCAAUAGUGCGUAUUCUUCAACUUCAAUCAACAGACUUUGGCUUCCUAAACUGACCUUGCUGUGGUCAUUGGCAGAUAUAAGAAACUGGAUUAGGAACAUUGAGCAAGAUGCUUCUGACAAUGUGAACAAAAUUUUGAUAGGCAACAUAGCAGACAUGGAUGAAAGCAAACGGGUAUGUUCUGUUCUUCUUUAUUGUCUCUUGUCCAUGAUAUGCUGACAUCCUAUUUGCGAUUGUGCAUUUUAAUGUUCAGUUUAAAAUGAAAACGUAAAAUCUUACUGGUGCUUGGAAGUAUUGAUGAACUGGCUUCCUCAACUGACCUUGCUGUGGUCAUUGGCAGAUAUAAGAAACUGGAUUAGGAACAUUGAGCAACAUGCUUCUGACAAUGUGCUUGCAUUAGUUCUGGCAUAGAACUUCAUGAUGUGUUACCUACGGAACAAAGUUACCUACGGAAGAUGCGUGAAAUCAAAAGCUUAAAUCAGAUUGUUGAAUCUAAUGUCCGGCUCGGCCAUGGCUCGGCCAGCAGGAACUCGACAGCACUGCAUGAUGAAAGGAACGCACAAGAGCAACUGAUUAAAGAGAAGAACAAGGAUGCGACGGAGUACUAACCGACGAGGACCAGCGGAAUCAGCUGCGAAAUGCCAAAUUGAAGAUGACGGCCUGCGGGCGAGGUGCUAACAACUGAAUGCGGUGGAGGCCCUACCCGCCAGCAGCUGGGGAGCGGUGGAUGCGGGGGAUGCCGAGCGGCGGCGGCGGCGAGGGAUGGAGACUGGCGGUGACACGAGGAUCAGAGGGCGCGACGACAGCGGAGCGCGGCGAGCUUAGGGUUUGGGAGCGGCGGCGGCGGGGGAUGGCGAGCGGCGGCAGGGAGGGAUGGCGAGCAGCGGCGGCGGCAGGGGAUGGCGAGCGGCGGCGGGGAGGGAUGGCGAGCGGCGGCGGCGGGUGAUGGCGAGCAGCGGCGGGGAGGGGUGGCGAGCGGCGGCGGCGGGGGAUGGAGAGCGACGGCGCGCGGCGGGGGAUGGCGAGCUGUGGCGGUUCCUGCUAGGAGGAACUGGAACGGGAGGAUGUUGACCCACGUUCGGAGGAGCUAUAUAUAUAUAGCUAGGAACGUCAUGCUUGAGAUAUUUUGAAAUGUCUCUUUAUAAAUAAAUUUAUGAUGAGCAAUAUAUAACUUACGGAAUGAGAUAAGUUCAAGUAGGAACGACCAACAUAAUGCAUACACUACCUGGUCAAUGUCCAUAUCGGCUGGAAACUCAAAGUUGCUCUCUGUACGUAUCCUCAUAUGCAAACCAGAUGGUGUCGUCUGAUGGGAAUCAAUUGUAAAAAUCCUUAAAAUUCCCAGCUGCGGUUGAUACUGUCAGAGGAUCACCUGGGAGGGUUGAUGCUGCUUCACCGUGAGAUGUGCAUCGACAGCGAGUUACCCGUGCACCCUCAGCAUAGUCAGAAGGGAAAGUACUCUUGGUCAGAUCCUGACGAAUAUCAAAAUAAUCAUAGAAACUAAACAUAAAAAUGAUUAUGGACAAAUUACAUAUAUAUACUCACAACACUAUCCGUCGUUGCGUGAAUGAUGCACAAAUUACUAGUAUAGAAUUGGCAUUCGAUGCGCCCCCUUUUGUGCCGGUUUAAAGUUGGCCCGGGACAAAAGGGGUGCGCCACGGUAGGUAAAAAUGGAGGGGAGAGUUAGUCCCGGUUGGUAAUUGCAACCGGGACUAAAGGCCCUCCUUUAGUCCCGGUUGCAACGACUAGUUCCGGCGCGUUGGUGGCGGCACCCUUUUAUCCCGGUUGGAGGUUCCUUUUAUCUCGGUUGGAGCCUCCAACCGAGACAAAAUGUUUAGUCCCAGUUGGAACUUUCAACCGGGACAAAAGGUGUUUCGUUUUGUCUCGGUUGGAGUUUUUAACCGGGAUGAAAACUCAUUCCCAUUAUAUACCAAGAUAGAGGCCUUUCUUCCUCCUCCAGCCCGAGCCAGACCAGCACAUAGAUAGAGAGCUGAGCUUCACCUACUCUCCGGUGGUGCCGAAGCAAGGGAGGUGCUGCCCGAAGUUUUUUUCCUCAUUUUCGUGGGAAUUUCACUCAGCCAACACAAGUGUUGUGAAGGUUUGCUACUUCAUCCUCGUGUUAUGCUUUGAUUUAUGCUUUGGAGAUGGAAAGAUUAAUUGCUAGAAUGUGAUGAAGUAGAAAAUGGAGAGGUAUUUUGAGCUAGAAUGUGAGGGAGAUUGAUGUGUCAUAUAUAGUAUGUAUUCUUGCAGUGGUUUAAGAAUGAUGCUACCUUGCCUAGACGGUUUAUCUUAUCAAAUUCAAUAAGGUUUUUCAAAUCUAUACUUGUUGAACUUGCAUACCGUGUUCAUCUCUGCGAGCAUGUUCUCUGCCGAGCAGCAACGUAUGUCAAGAAGGAGGUUCGAUUCUACGAGAAAGAGUGGAUAUGGACAUCGUCACUGUGUCCCCUUUUCCAUAGCAUCGAACCUCUUUCAUGACGAAGUGCGAUGCCGCCUAGUUGAGAACAUGCUCGCGAGAUGAUCAUGGUCUUCAAGUUCAACAACUUCUGCAGUGCUAAGGAAAGUAUUUUUGUACAUAGAUGGCUUCUGCUACUUGCUGAACUUAUCAAAUUCAAUAUGGUUUUUCAAAUCCAUACUUGUUGAACUUGCAUACCGUGGUCAUCUCUGAGAGGAUGUUCUCCACCGAGCAGCAACAUAUGUCAAGAAGGAGGUUCGAUUCUACAAGAAAGAGUGGAUAUGGACAUCGUGACCGUGUCCCCUUUUCCGUAGAAUCGAACCUCUUUCAUGAAGAAGUGCGGUGCCGCCCAGUUGAGGACGUGCUCACGAGAUGAUCACGGUCUUCAAGUUCAACAAAUGAGACACUAAGCAUGGUCAUUUUCAUCAAAUGUGUUGCUUUUGGAGCUGGGGAGAAUGUAUUUUUAAUAUCAUGUAACUCGCUGAACUCGACCGGGCAUGUACCUCUGAAAACACCAUCUUGGAAGUACGCUAAAACUGCGUGGAAAGAUGAGUGUUCGGUCUACUUGCCAGGCAGGCUCAUACCUCAGAAAAUUCUGGUCGAAUAAAAUAUACAUUGAGGUUUACAAACCUGAGGUUUCCUUGAAACCAUGUUGCUAGCAAACUACCAAAAGUAGGCCAAGCAAGAGAACAAAGAUGUCAAUUUCUCAGCGUUGGAGGGGAGUCCUUAUUUAAUAUAUUAAGGAAUAUCUGCCUUGUUUAUUCACUACUGUACAACAUUAUAAGCAAGUGGUUGCAACUUGGAACAUAUAUAGGUGGGGCCAUGUCGUAUGUCCUUCAUUCAAUCAGGGCCGCCACAUCAACGUCUUUACCUUGGGCACAAGUGGCAAAUGGAACAACAACUUGCACGCAUAUGAUGAAGAGUCCUACCCGCGUACUGCUUUAAUUUUUUAUUUUUGUUGAUGACAGGCUGGCUGAUGUUAUGGGUGCGUCUCAGUUCUAUAAAUAAAGGAGGAAACGUGGUUGCCUAUUUUGACUCACCACGGAUGCAUGUUUAUAUAGGACCAACCGCUCAAGAUAUAUACAAGAUCUCGUCAUCGUACGUGACUCGGAUACCGUUUACAAAAGACUUAUCUCUAAUCUACCUCUAAGUAUCCGAAUCAACUAAGGAUGACAAAGUAGUUGGAACUGUUUACACAAGAUAUUCUAUUCUAACAUCCUCCCUCAAUCUAAACUUCUCUUCUUGAGAUUUAGAUGGUGCUUGAAGUCUUCUAACUUGCCGGCUAUCAAAGCUUUAGUAAAACCAUCCGCAACUUGAUCAUGAUACUAAUCUGACUUGUAAUUGCUUCUUGGCAACCCUCUCUUGUACAAAGUGAAAAUCAAUCUCUAUAUAUUUUGCACGAGCAUGAAAAACUGGAUUUGCUGAAAGAUAUGUGACCCCCAAAUUAUCACACCAUAAGAUAGGUGGUUGUGUCAACUUUACUCAAGUUCAAGCAACAAAGAUUCUAACCAAAUCAAUUCUAUAGUAACAUUUGCCAUAGAAUUAUAUUCUGCUUCAGUACUAGAUCUUGAAAUUGUACCUUGCUUUCUAUCACUCCAAGAUACAAGAUUAGGAUCAAAGAAUAUUGCAAACCCCCCUGUAGAUUUUUCAUCAUCAACACUACUAGCCCAAUCAGUAUGAGAAAAUGCACUCAAUGUCAUUGAACUAGACCUUCUCAUAUGCAAUCCAACAUUCAAGGUACUAGAGAAUCAACCCAUCAUCGUCUUCAUGUCUUGUCUAACAUGUACUGACGUGACAGGAAUUUGCCAUGCGACGACCGCCAAUAUGCUAGUCUCCGCACAAGCUAGCAACGUCCAAGGAGACUGCACACAGUCUCCCUUCAGUGAAUUAUAUAUGUGUGUAAAUAUAAAAGGCAGCAACAUUCAUGAAAUGUCGACCACUAAGAUCGUGGAUUCACAUUUAGCGAAAUGUCUCUAAAUGGUUCUUACAUUAUAAUAAUAUAAAAGAUCUCUGUUGACUUCACGAGUCAAGAUAACAGUGACACUGUUCUUUUUGCCACCACAGAAAUAUACUCACAUAGCGUGUGACAAAUAAAUAAAGGAAACACAUAUUUAUUUAAAUUCUUAGUUUGUAUUUGGUUUGCGAACGAGAUGGUUCUCUUCGUCCUAGUGUUCUGUUGACUUCACGAGUCAAGAUAACAGUAACACUGUUUUUUUCGCCACCAUAAAAAAUACUUGUCAGAUACCGUGUGACAAACAGAUAGAGAAAAUACAUAUUUAAUUAAACUCUUAGUUUUUUUUGUUUGCGAACAAGAUGGUUGUGUCUGUCCUAGUUUUUUAGAUGGGAUAUCCCUUCUUUUGCUUGGUUAAGGGAAUAGUGUCACCUCUAUUUUAUAUAUUUCAUAGCAGGGAUAAGGAGAAAGAGGAUGGAUAGCUGUUUUCAAUACGUGAACCACCAUUAGCAUGGGCCUUAGUUGUUAGCUCCAACAGCGGAGGUUAGCGAUGAGGACGGAGACCGGCACGCGGACUCAGUAGUGGAGCUGUGUGGCCUUGGCCAUGGCAAGAGAAGAUGGGAGGCAGUGCCACCAUGGCUGCCCGUCUGUGCUUCAUUCACCCGCCAUUUACCAUCAACCCGAGCUGCUUGCCGUCGGUCAGAGCUACCGCAGUGUCAAUUCAAUCCACCAUUCUCUUCCAUGCUACACUCACCACCUCACCGUUGAGCUGACUCGUACCUCAGCCAUGGACAGCCGCCAUUGACGCCAGAACAUGAAGAUGGGACACAUUUAACGAUGCCAAAGUAGGAUGAAUUGUUAAAAUUUUUUUAAGAACCCGAUUAAUUCCUUGGGUGGGGUGACGCGCAAUCCUAGCAAUCCCUGAUCCAAACAAUAUCAUAAACUUGGGAUAUCCUGCUUUGUCUUGGUUUCCACAAACUAAAUCUGACUCCCUCCGAUUCAAAUUGUAAGUUGUUUUGGCAUUGUAUAUAGGUUUUAUGAUGCACCUAGAUAUACGUUAUGUCAAUAUAUAUAGUAAACCUAUGUAUUUCAAAAAGUCAAAACAACUUACAAUUUGUAAGGGAGUAUAUUAGUGGUGAAAGAAGCCUAACUCUCUUAAUUUCUCUAAGCUUUUGAAAUAGAGCACAACUUCAAGUUGUUGUAGGAGAUUCGGGUGUAUAUAUGUAAAUUUCCUUGCUUUGACAUUUCUUCAUCUAAGAAAAUACAAAAGUGUAGCAAUCCUCAAAAUCUCGACGACUACCCAGUUCAUUCAUGUAUUCACACUUGUUUGUUGUUACUGAAAAGUUUUGUGUUCCUUACAUGACACCCAAGUCCUAUCUUUUAUUCCUUAUUUGAUAUUUUUAACACUUGUGUCACUUCAGUCGAAUGAAACAACCAUCAAAUCAUCUUCAAAAUUCAUGAAACUUUUUUUGUAAUAGAACAAAUGAAGAUAAAUCCAUUUUGCUUAAAUUCGCUAUGUAAGUUUUGCUAGGAAAUAGUUUAAUAAGUUCUAGCAUCUGAUGUGAGAAAUAUUAGUUAUUUUCUUAUAAUUUUCAAAAGUGUGUCGAUGCCAUCAAAAUUCAGAUAAUUUUAGAAGCAGCCUAAUUUGGUGAAUUUUAGUUUUAAAACUGUAAAGGUUUAUGUGUCCUUUAUAUCAAAAUGGGUUAAUAUUCGUUUGUUGUAUCCCUACAAAAAGUUUCAUGAUUUUUGGAGGUGAUUUGGAGAUUGUUUCACCUAACUAACUAACAUAAGUGAUGGAAAUGUCAAAUAAGGAAUGAAAGUUCGAAGUUGGUGACAUAUUUUGAAGGAAAAACUUUCCAGGAUCAAGAAAGGAAUUAACUCAUCUUCGAGUGUCAAAUAAGAAACUUUCUCUAAGAAGAAUCGAAGAAUAUUCUUCAAAUACAAAGAUGGUAAUGACCAUGUUUCUAAUUGGCCCAGUACACACUUGUUAAAGUUUAGCCGCGUUCGUUGUUCGUGUGUCGUGGCAGCCCCGUGAUUUUGAGAUGGAAGGAUAAAGAACAACACAACUUUAUUACGCAUGCAUUGGGUGACGUAAGCAUGCAAUCCCUGGAUGACUUCACCAAGUCAGCAUAUAUCAAGUACAGUUGUGUUUUCUUCCCCACGCUACCACAAAAAAUUGUAGUCCAAAACCACGUCUCAGUCAUCCUCAUUCUAUGCCAAAUUUUUGUCUAUUUUUCCCUUGCUAAAUUGCACAAUAAAUGUGUUCUUUUUUUCCAUGAGUGAAGAGUAAUGAAGCAUGGUCAUUUUCUUGCCCAUCUGGCCACCUUUGUAGAAUGUUCAAGUCUAAAUGAGUUAUAUUUGGACAGGGGUACACUAUGGGAAACAACAACUUUGCCGAGUGCCUGGGAGCACUUGGCGAAGCCCCUAAAACACUCAACAAAUACCUCCUUUGUCGAGUGCCCGAUAUAAUGCACUCGGUAAAUAAAAAAUACUCGGCAUUUUAAAUGUUUUCCGUAGUGGUAGUACGUAUUCAAAAUCGUGUUCCUCAAUGAACUCGAUCAAGUACUUCUGAAUACAAACCGAGACUAAAGGGUCUGAGGACUUUUGUCCUUUUUCACCCACCCAUGGGGGACCCUUUAGUCCCGGUUGGUGUGAUUUUUUCACCUGGGACUAAAGGGUCUGUCACGGGUGGCUGAUUUUUGACUCGGGACUAAAGGGGGCUUUAAUCUCGAUUGGUAUUUGACCCGGGAUUAAGACCCCUUCAGUCAUAAGCCAGCUUUAAACCGGGAUAAAAGGAGGCGCAUGGAAGAUGAGUUCUCUACCAGUGAUACCAAUGCUAGACUUGUUUUAACAUUUAUUUCAUUUCAACAAAAAUUCGAAGCCAAAGACUAAAUAUUUACAUAACCAGGAUGUAUAUAGAACUUUUUGACUGCUAUUUGUCAAAAAAAAAACACCAUUCCUUGUUAGCCAAUAGCAUAGCAAAAUCUACCUCACAAUAUCAGUAUGCACAACCAGGAAGUAAAAAAAAAGCAUGAAAUCAAACAAAAAAAACAAAUCAAGUUUUACAUUCAAGCUGGUAUAGUCCUUCUGCUUGAUAUUUCUGUGCAAAUGGAAUAAAUCUUAAAACAAGUCAAACUGGGAAAUUUGCGGGAGCCACCUUGCUAGUUUGCUAGAAAUAAAAGUAGCAAUUAGGAUUUCAUUCUAUGCUAUAUAUAUACAGCCUCAGGCCGGGCUCUCCAGGACUCCAAACUGUGUACUCUCUUCAUUGUGUGGUGAGGUAGAGAACUAGGGAUCCCACCCUGAUAAGAUUCCUCUGGUGGAGAAAACCGUGGCUACUGCCGACAUGGCUUUGGCACCAAGUCCCACUCCCCAAGUUGAUGCUUUGCUACGACAUUCGCAACGUCAUGAUAUGCUAUCUUUGGACUACGUGGUAGCCCUGUUCUUCGUGGCCGUGGUGGCCAUGUUCCUUUUGCAUAUAUUGGGUCCGUUACGCCGGUGGUUGAGCCACGGUCUCCUCCAUCACAUCGUGAUGGGAGUCUACACUCUCUCCUACCCAUUGGUGGGCUACACCAUUGGGCUGAUGCAGUCUACCAAGUAUUUGUACUUGAACGACUUCACCGUGUGGGCUGUGUUCCUGCUUCUGCUCCUCACCAGCACGGACAGCCUCACGGCUUGCCGCCUCGACGACAUCGACAACUGGAAGAGCAUCUACGUCAAACAGCUCUUUAAGGGAUUCAUCGUGGUGUUUAUCGUUCUAAAGUUUUGCAUUUACAUGGAGUUGGCUUCGAAUUUGAACUACCUGUGGUACCCGCUCUCAGCCAUCCUGGUCGUUAUCGUCCUCAAGUCAUAUCUGAUGAUAGCUUCCAUGAGGAUGGUGAGCAAGUCCUACCACGGCAAGAACGUGAAGGUGAUCGCCGAAUACAUGCAGCAUAUAGACAACAAGCUGGUGGCCUUCGAUCCUGUGACCAUGGAAGGCUACCGGUACAUGGUCGCCGGUGAGAAACACUGCGUUAACCAGCCUGGGCACACACCAUGGUACAAGAAGCCGGACGACUUGAAGCUUACCACCGUGGAGCAGAUCUGGCAGUGCGAGGGGAAUCUGCUCAUUGGUGAUCAGGGCAAGGUGCUCAAGGACUUGUGCCUCUCUAUGGCUCUCUCCAAGAUGCUCAACCGCAGGUUUGCUGGCUUCAAGCUCUCAGAGGCAGAGCUUGAGAAAACCCAUGACUUCGUAUUCAAAGGCCUGCUCGCCGGGGAUGAGCAGCGGGUCUUCAGGGUCAUUGAGGAGGAGCUUGUUUUUGUCCAUGACAUGUAUUACACAAGGUACUCUUACCUCUACCAAAAGGGUAGAUACCUGGCUCUCUGUCUGCCUGUCAUCAUGUCUGCCCUAUGCUUGUGGCUCACAGUGGCCAGCCUGCACGUCAAGCGUGACGAGCACACCGAUCUCAGUAUUGAUAGCUUUCAGGAUCUGAUGAAUGCCGCCUCAUACAUCAUGUUUAAACAUAUAACUUCUGGCAGUCUGAUGUCUGGCACCAUAGUGAUAACGGUUGUCUUGGCAUUCCUGGAGGCAUACCAGCUGUACCUGUACAUGGCCUCAGGUUGGUUCAAGGUGGCUCUGAUACGGAGCUACGUCACCGCACCAUUUUUGCAAACAAGCUAUUGUUCUGAGAUGAUCAUACGUCUUCUCUUGAUGUUGAAGCCGUUUCGCCCAUGGAAGGGCAGACUUGGGCAGUACUGUUUCCUCGAGAAUCUUGGGCGCAAAAGUAAGGUUAUGAGUUGUCUCCAUUAUGGUACACUGUGCAUGGUGGACAAGGCCAUGAAGGGAAGCAAGAAAUCAGUGAAGCUGUCCAAAGAUGUGAAGAAAGCCAUCAUUGAUUCCCUACUAGCAAGCAACGGACACCUGACGAACGGGGUAACAUCGCUGCAAAGAAAUGGCGUCCAUGAUGACCUCAAAUGGGCAUGUGAUGGUACUGCUACUGACGGAGCGGUGGCUCGCACCAUUGUGGUCUGGCACAUUGCUACAACCCUGUGCGAGCAGAAGCUAGAUAAACAAGCCAAAGAACAAGACGCUGUCAAAACAGCCUCCACUUUAUCCAAGUACUGCAUGCAUCUCCUUGCUUUUGCACCUAACCUCUUGCCCGACCAUAGCUCCAUAUCAGAAUCCAUACUUCGUCAGUCAAUCGACGAAGCAAGCAAGAUACUCAAAGAGGCCAAGAACAACAAGAUCGAUGGCAGGUGUGAGACAUUAAUGGAAAUUAACACCGAUGGUUGUGUUGAUGAUGAAACAAUUCUUGUUGCGCGGGGCGUUCACCUUGCAAGGCAACUGAUGAUUGAUAACAUACAAGACUUCACAACAAGGUGGAAGGUGUUAUCUGAUUUCUGGGAGGAGAUGAUGCUGUAUGUCUCGCCAUCUGACGAUGCCCGGGUGCGCGUGCACCUGGAAGUUCUUCCAAGAGGAGGGGAGUUCAUCACACACCUUUGGGCGCUGCUCACACAUGCCGGUGUGCUGAAGCGAGGCUCUACAGAGCCAAAGGAUGUUGUGUGACCUCUCCAACAAGUACACACGUAGCAGUCUUUAUAACUAUCUAGUGCUUGUAACAUUCUAUGUAUAUUGCCUACUGUAAUGUUGGGACACACCAACUUGUGGCACACCAUGUGUGAGUUGGUCUGUCGGAGUCUGUAUCUCUUUUCAUGUCGUGUCUGUUGUCAGAUUUUGGUCAGGGUCGGAGUCUGUAAUUUCUGCAAGUUUCGUUGAGAAGAGCGCGUGCUCAGGUUGUUGGACGUGCGCGCGUCUUAGGUGGCCAUUACAGUCGCAAUCUGUUCCAUCAACCACUUGGGCAGCUCCAUGCGCACAGCACAAAUCUACUCUCUCUCAGUUGCAUCUGUUCGUCUGUCAAUUCAACAGGUCCUGUUGCAGCAGAGAUUGACACUACUACUACUGUAGGGGCGGGGAUCCCCUCUUGAGGAUUCCAGCUCCUCAGGGAGGGGUUCAACCAUGGUAGGAAUUCUCGCGUUCAUGUUCUUAACGAGACUGAAUGUUAUGGAAAAAUAGGGUCUCCUCCCUCUUCCCUCUUUGGGAAAGGGAAGCCUUUAUUCUUUGCUGAGUGUAUUGGAUCCCCAUUUCGAGCACAGGUAAAAUUGGUAUUUACACGAUGUUGGGACCCUAACACUAUACCGUUAGAGACAAAAGUAAUAAAGGACGGGCUUCCUUAUCUGACACCUAAGUACAGCUCUAUGCACUCAUGCAAAAGGAUCGUAUCAUGAUCAGAGGCAGUCGCAACCACAGAGCAAGGUUGCUACGGAAUCAAUUCAGCUGAAAUCAACCUAGGCCUGCAUGCAUUCAGCUGAAAUCAACUUUAUGUAUUAUAGUUGUUAAAAGAUUCGAGUGAUGAGACACUAAGCAUGCUCUUUUUCAUCAAAUGAGUUGCUUUUGGAGCCCGGGAGAACGUAUUUUUAAUAUCAUAUGUACCUUGCUGAACUCGACCGGGCAUGUACCACUGAAAACACCAUCUUGGAAGUACGCUAAAACUGCGUGGAAAGAUGAGUGUCCGGUCUACUUGCCAGGUACAUACCUCAGAAAAUUUGGGUCGAAUAAAAUAUAAACUGAGGUUUCCUAGAAACCAUGUUGCCAGCAAACUACCAAAAGUAGGCCAAGCAAGAGACCAAAGAUGUCAAUUUCCCAGCGUUGAAUGGGAGUCCUUAUUUAAUAUAUUAAGGAAUAUCUGCUUUUUUUCACUCCUGUACAACAUUAAAAGCAUGUGGUUGCAGCUUGGAACAUAUAUAGGUGGGGCCAUGUCGUAUGUCCUUCAUUCAUUCAGGGCCACCACAUCAACAUAUUUACCUUGGGCACAAGUGGCAAAUGGAACAACAACUUGCACGCAUAUGAUGAAGAGUCCUACGUGCGUACUGCAUUAAAUUUUUAUUUUUGUUGAUGACAGGCUGGCUGAUGUUACGGGGUGCGUCUCAGUUCUGUAAGAAAAGGAGGAAACAUGAUUGCCUAUCCUCGCUCACCACAGGUGCAUGUUUAUAUAGGAGCAACCGCUCAAGAGAUAUACAAGAUCUCGUCAUUGUACAUGACUCGGAUACCGUUUACCUACCUCAAAGUAUCCGAAUCAACUAAGGAUGAAAAAGUAGUUGGAAAUGUUUACACAAGAUAUUCUAUUCUAACAUCCUCCCUCAUCUAAAUGUAACACGCAGUGUUAAUGACAACUUAAGUAAGAAAUUAAGAAGCUAAUGAUGAAAUUUGGAUUAGAGGAAGGUAAAUUGAGCCAAAGUCAAAUUCGAGCCGAAUUCGACCAAAUUUGCAAUUUGGAGUUUCAAAUUUGGAUAAAUUUAGCAAAAAUAUGAAAUUGAUACUUGAGAGUAUUUAGAACUCAAGAGAGUGAAGUUGUGGUCUAAUUGAAGUCAUAAACCGCUCAGAAAUACAAUCGAAAAUGGAAUCGAUGAAGUUACUAUACAUCGUCCAAAAACACACAUCUGAAAAUAAUGUUGAGUACAUGACUUUGGAGCCAAUUUCUGGAGAAUUUUUAUUGUAAGUGAGCAGAUGUUUUUGGACAUUAGUGAAAUAUGGACUAUGAAGAAGGUAAAUGAAAUGUUGUCGUCCAGAGAUAAUGGAAGGUUCGAAUUUAAAAUGCAGCCAAAAAUCAGCAAAUAAGCAGAUUUCAGCCUUCUCGCCAAGAAAAUCCUAAGUCUGAAAACAGCAUUGACUAGCAAUGUUUGGAGUGAAUUUCAGAAAAAUCCAGUCUUAAAGAAAUAUGAGUUCAUGUGCAAAAUGGAAUCUUUGUUUGUUGUAGAACAAGGAUAGGCAAGGUUCAAGCUGUAUGGAAAGAGUUUAAGAAAUUUAAAUUGAGCUCAAAUUAGGGAAGAAGUCUCUGUUUUGGAACCCGACGAGACUGAAUGACCAAGGUUCAGUUACAGAAGGUUCUGAUCGAACUUCGAGCUUCAAAAUCUCGGUGUUAGGGUGCUCAUCUUGGGUAGAGGCCAAUCUAUCAAAUAGAGUACUUGAGAUACUCUACAAGUUUACUUAAAAGAGUUUUACGAGUUGAGAUGGAAAAUUUUGAGCAAUCGAGGCCUGAACAUGUCGGUUGGGAAGAAAGAGAGGAGAACAGAAAAGAAACACUGACCGCAGGAGCCAUGCCGCCGCCGGCACCUCUGUCCGUCGGCCAGCGCAAUGACCCCAUCCGCACCACGCACGCCUGCAAGUCGCUGAGGUAGCCUCCAUGCACGCGGUGAAUGCUUGAAUAUUUACUGCUCCCGCCCUCAUCCGUUGCCUCUAUCGCCAUUUCACCGCCACGGAGCAGAAGCUCGAGCAAGCAGUACCGCCACCGACCGAUUCCACCGCACCGCCGCUCUAUUUCUCGAUUCCAUCCGUCCUAAGCUCCGCCAGCUCCUCCUCAACGCCCCACACUACUCCGUUUCCUAGUUUCCCACUGGCAAGCCCCGAGCCGCCACAUCUCCAGUCCGCCGCCGCCACCACUGCUCCUCUUGGUGAGCUCCUCCGUGCUGCCCUUUCCUUUCGAUAGCUGGGUUUUUGGGAACUUAGCUAAGCCUUGUAGAGGCCAUAGGGUGCACUGCUAUUCGUUUUGUGCCACCGCCAGGCCUAGAGCCGGCCGGCCUUGGCCGCCGCCGCCCGUAGGGGGCUUGGCUCACGCUGCCGCCGGAGGACUGAGCGCCACCCAUGGGUUCGCCGUGGCCUGGGGAUUCCCCCCAGCCCGGCCAUGCCACUGGGGAGGCUGCCGCCAGCGAGACCCGUCCAACCCACCGAGCUUGUCUCUGGCGCAAGGUUGAAGGAGGGCCUGACCGCGGGGGCCCACUAGUCAGUGGCUAAGGAUAGGAGGGAGGGGGCCGGUUUGGGGUCUUGAGAGGGGGAGAGGGGGGCCGGGCCUUGGGGCCCGCAGGUCAGUGAUGCGGAGUAGAGAGGAGGUUGGUAAAAAAACAUUUGGCUGAGGUUUGGAUAAGGUUAAAUUUUUUCCUUUAGCAAAUAAGUUACUGAAAUCCAUUUCUAAAUGUUUAAUUCGCUAUAAAUCGUAGAAGUAUCCAAAAAUAGUGAAAUAAAUUUUAGUAGAUUUGUUUUUAUUCCCUUUUCACAUAAAAAUUGUUAAAACUUAUUGGUUUAUAGAAACAUUUUGGGUAUUUAUUUAGUGCCUUUAAUCAAAGGUAUUAAAUAAAUACUUAAUAAUUCCAAAAUUACAUAAAAUAUGAAAUAAUGCUUUUCUAAUUACCAAUUUACUCAUAAUCUAUAGCGAUUAGGAGUUUAAGGUAGAAAAUAUUUAUGAUGCUUUUCAAAAAUAAAUCAAAAGGCUUACGUUUUUAAAUAAAGAGAUAAAGAUUAAGUAUUUAUUUAAUGUUUUUACUUAAAAUAUUUAAGUAAAUGCUUAAGCCUUAUAGAUAAAUAAAAUUCUAAAUAAUGUUUUGAUUAAUUCCAAACAAAUGUUAAUCUAUAGUUUUACAUUUUGUUUUACAUUAGAAAUUAAUUCAAAAGCUUUUCAAAAAUAAAAAGAAAAGCCUAAAAUGGGUUUAAAUAAGGGAGUUUAAAUCGCGAGUUAGACGUUUGGGUAGAGUUUUGUCGGCUUGCAACUUUAUCAUGAAGGAAGUUGUAUAGUCCGUGCUUAAAAAGUUGCAUCUUUGACUCAUGCAUGCACUUUAUCAUAGACACUAAAGCUCUGAAGGCAGGAUUUCUGGAAAUUUCUGAAUAACCUUCGGAGUUUGAGGAGAUUAUUAAGUUGAUCCCUUGUGAAGCCGGACCGUCGGACAACGCUAACAUUUUUACAGAUCAAGGCAAGCUCUAGUGCAUUUAAGCCUAUCUACUUUUGGAGUUAUUAUUUCAUGUGUCCAACUAUUGGUUAUUUCUUUAUGAAUGCAUUAAGUCUAGGAGUUGAUUGAAAACUUACUUUUAUGCAUAAUCCAACCUUGUUAUUAAGGAUACAUUUGCCACUUGUGCAAUAAUUAGUAAGUAACCCAUGCUUAGCAAAGCAUAGUCACGCUACCUUUAUUCUUUCUAAGUACCUACGGUACUCAGUAACUUAAGGUAACAUUGUUAUACAUAUGUAUAUCAAAGAAAUGACCUGUUUUGGAAGAUAGUGGAUGGAAGCUUGGAUGGAAUCAAGAAAGGAGUCUUGAGUUCCGUAGUUCCAUCUACUCGGUUAAUUUGAUUGAGGACUGAUCGUUGUGUUAACCAAUGAUCAAGUGAUAUUACCUGGUUGCUUACUGCCAUAUGGGAACCAGCAAGCCCAGUAGGUUAGCUGGCUCUCUGAUCGGAAAUAUUUCAUACCCGUGCUUGGCGUGCAGUGGAAGGGCAAGGGCAUAGCCUGAAACUCACAUUGGAGAUCGCCAAAUGUGGGGUUCCAUGUGGGGGUGCGUCCCUGCACUAGUAGAGAACUGGGCUUUAAUCCCGGUUGGUAGGGUGCAAAUAUCACGAAAAUGCAUCCGGGAUAAACCAAUCGGGACAAAAGGGGGGGUCUUUUAUCCCGGGUCACUCAACCGGGACAAAAGACCCCCUUUUAUCCCGGUUGGUAAUACCAACCGGGAUAAAAGGUUCGAGAGCGCCGACGCUUCCAAAAAAAAAAAAUUCCCGAGCUCCCAGGCAGGCCCCCCACACGCGCACGAGUCACGCGAUUUUUCACGCGAAAUAUGCGCGUGCGCGGUUCGUGGGAUUCGAACCCACAACCUCCAGCCUCGCGCGUAGCUUCCUUGCCAUCCCACCUACACACCACAUCUGACUAUGUAGGGGUUACUAUCCUUUUGUAUUAACUCGUGGGGGACCCUUUUAUCUCGGUUGAGCCUUUUAUCCCGGUUGGAAACACCAACCGGGAUAAAAGGGGGGGUCUUUUAUCCCGGUUGGUGUUUCAAACCGGGAUAAAAGGCCUCUCAGAGUCUUUUUUUCCCAUUAGCCUUUGCAACCGGGAUAAAAGGUUCCGGUUGGUGAGCCCCCACCAGUGACCGAGUUUUAGUCCCGGUUGGUGAACCUUUUGUCCCGGGCCAACUUUAAACCGGGAUAAAAGGGGGCAUAUGGAAAGUCAAUUCUCUACUAGUGCUGGGUUUGAGUAGUCAUAUUUCCGAUCGUUGGGUACAGCUAAUCGAAAGGUCGUUAUGUGCAACCCAAACAAUUGUACAUGGCUGGUGGUCGGGUAUCUCCUGCAGGAUGUAAAUCGGUGCGGAUCGCCGCAAUUCUGGGAUAUGAAUACGCUUGAUCAUUGCUUGAGCAUCAUAGUGUAACAAAGAUAAGGGAACCAUUUGCUUUGAAUAAAUAUGUUGUAUGACUUAGUUCCAUCUGGUUGCUAAAAUAUUUUUCGUCAUCUAGACUGGUCAGGUAACAAACUCAAUCUGAAAUAAAAGAUAAAAACUAAGGUUUCACUUAUAGUAAGCUCUUUUUGCAAAAUGUGAGUCAGCCAAUACACCAUAAAGCUAUCAUACAGUGUAUCAGAAAUAUUUAUAUUGGUUAGAUGGGUCAGACUUGCUAAGUACUUCGUACUCAGGGGAUCCUCUGUUGUUGUUUUCAGAAACCCAGCAGGGACCCAACGAGGAGGAAGCUCCGAAGAACUAGGGUAUCUUAUGAGUCUCAUGAUACCCUAUAAUGAACUUAUAUGUAUAAUUACUUGCCCCGGACUGGUUGUAACACCUGGUGUUUUAAGUCAUCAAAGGUGAUUAAGAAAAGUUAAAGGUGAAUUACGGAGAAAAAGAGAAGAAAUUGACUAAAAGUCAAAUUCGAGUCAAAUUUGACCGAAACUUGAAUUUUGAAUUCUAAAUUCAGAAAAAUUGGGCAAAAAUAUGGAAUGGAAGCUUGAGAGUGUUUAGAACUUUGGGAAUCAAUAUUGGAGACUAAACUUAGUGCUAAACAUCUCAAGAAAAGCAAUGGAAAAAUUAAAACAGGAGUGUACUGUUCAGUGUCCGAAAAUGGAUUUUUAGAAAAACAGUGCAAGUAUCCAUUUUUGAAAUUGAUUUCUGCCAAAUUUUCCAAAUAAGUGGACCAAGGCAACUAUACAGUGAUGAAGUAUGAACUUUUGAACAAGUAUAUUCGGGUGUUGUUGAUCAGGAAGGGUAAAGGGAUCAAAUUCAAAAUUUAGCUCAAAGUCAGCACAUUGCCACGGUGGACUGAAUUGCUGAAACUGUCUAAGUCUGAAAAUAGUAAUAAGUAGCUAAGUUUGGAGAAAAUUUUAGAAGGAUGUAGUGCAAAAGGUAUAAGUGUUUAUGAGCAAAAUGGAAUCUUUUGAAGUUGUAGAACACGAAUGGGUAGUAGUUGGACUAAAAGGAAUGAGUUCGGGCCACUGAAAUUAAAUUAACAGAAGUGCAAAUGACCAUGUUGAAGGUCUGACGAACUGAAUAAGGUGUUCAAAGGGAUUCAGUUAACUGAGGGAAAGAAAUUCGAAAUUGCCAACAUUUGGAUGAUUAUCUCAGGUGAGAGCCAAAAUAAAACUUGGAGAGCUCGAGAUUAUCUUCAAGUUUGCCUAAAUGACUUUGGGGCCGUUGGAUUCGAAAUCGACCGUGGUUGAGGUCUGAACUUCAGGUGUCAGAGAAACAAAGAAGGGGGGGGGGCGACAGAAGCAGGGCACGACGUGUCGUCGCCGGCGUCUUCGGUCAUCCGCCAGCCCAGCAGCUAUGCCACCUCCUCACCACGCAAGCCUAGCACUAGGCCACGGUGUCGUCCAUGCGCGCGUUAAGUCCCUUGAAUAUCUACCGUUCCCGCUGCCACUUCUUACUGCCUGGUUUUUUACCGCCGCCCAUGAAUCCUCUGUCAAGCCGCCGCCGCCGAUCAAAAUUCCACCACCACAAUGCAGCUCCCGUCAAUUCCUUCCGUCCACGCCUCCACUCACACCCUACCAACAACCCUAGAAGCUUGUUGCCCAACUUCUCCGCCGGAGCGCCCGUAACCGUCGCCGUUCUCGUCCACCACCGCCAACCCUCCUGCUCACGGUGAGCUUUACCUUGCCGUCACUAUCUUUCUUUGUGGUAAGCCGUAGGUAGGCGUUUGGGGUGCUAGGAAGCUAUAAAGGUAGUCGAAGGGGCGAGUUGUGCCGUCGUCGUGCUUGGCCACGGCCGACCGUUAGCCUUGCCACCUGCCGCCGUGGAGGGAGUAGCUCCGGCCACCUCCCGGGGAGCUGCCGCCGCGCACGGGUGCGCUAGGGCAUGGGGAUGCUUCCCCAGCCCAGCCCCGCCGCCGGUGGGGCGCCAGCUGGCGAGCCGCGCCGCCCCCUGCCGCGCUCGGUUUUGGCGCGAGAUAGACGAAGGCCCUAACAAUAGCGGGCCCGCGCGUCAGAGAAGAAGAGGAAGGAAGGAGGUCGGCUGGGCAAAGGAAUAGAUAGGCCGAGGUCCAGUAGGCCCAGGCGCUGGUGUAAGGCCAUCGCGCUGUCUUGGAAGGCCGGGGGCCCGUGAGGUCCAACAGGCCGGUGGGCCGGUGAGGCAGGAGGUUAUUGUGAAUUACGUCUGUGAUGGUUUAUUGUGAAUUAUGCCUGUGAUGGUUUAUUGUGAAUUAUGCAUGUGAUGGUUAUUGAGUGGGGGUCCGUUAUACGUGACCGAACCCUAAAAAAGGGAUGUAUUGGUCGCUUUGCCAAGUGUAACACUCAGCAAAGAGAGGCUUUGCCUAAUGUUAAGGCAAAGCACUCGGUAAAAAGGCCAAUUUCUGUUACUCUCGAAACCUUUUUUGCGAGUUUUUUAGUUUGCCGAGUGUAUUGUCCUUGACACUCGGCAAAGUAACCAUAAAAAUUUGGCCGUUGCGCACUUUUUUGUCGAAUGUUUUGGGCUUGAUACUCAGCAAAGUUUCUGAACUUUGCCGAGUGUUUUUCCAUCAUGCACUCGAUAAAAUCACUAUCACUGUGCAUCCCAUUAACAUUUUUUGCCGAGAGUUUAUUUUUGCCGAGUGCCCGAUAAGUAACACUCGGCGAACAAAAUCGACACCGUGUGCUGUUUGCCAAGUGUAACACUUGGCAAAGCCUUUGCCGAGUGUUUUUGUGGCUUUGCUGAGUGCCUCUAAUACUCGCAAAGCUACUAUAUCUAGUGUAUAUUUAUUACGGAUGUCAACUAAUUUCUACAUAUUUUAAUAAAAUUAAGUCCUAUAUUUACAAGUGUAUAAACUGUGAGGAUACCCGGUUUACUUAUUAGCAAAUAUCUAUAUAUAGUAUAUCAUAUCAUCAUCAUAGAAAGAUUACGUAUGGAAAAUAAUUAGAACACAGACAACACAAACUUAGAAAGUCUGUUAAAAGAAUCUGCGAAAGCCACCCAAUGCAAUGACCAUUUUCUAAUAACUAGUUAUUGGGAUGUCCCAAUAUCAUUUUAAGAUUAGUGGGAGUUUGCUUUUAUUGUCCACCACCAAUAAACAUCAAUCAAUAAGUAGUUAAUGGGCCUAGUUAGUUUGGGCUUCUGUGAGAAGGGUACUUUGGGUUGUAGUCAUUGGAUUGUUGGACGUGAAAGAAACAACGAAGACGAAAGAUGAUGUCCAUUCCUAGCUCUAGCUGCGCCGCCACAUAAGGAAGGAGGACAUCGGUUGAGCUUUUGCUUAAUUUCAGUUUGGCAAUAUAUUGGAACUUUGUGAAGGAAGAUGUUAUAUCCACCCCUAUUUCUAAUAAACUUUGGGAAAUUCUUGCAAACUUUUUCGAUACAUGUACAUUUGGAAUGUACACCAUUGUGACAUCUUCAUUGGUGAAGUAUAACUUGGUAUAGUGGUUUAUAUUCCAAACGUGUAUACCAAACAGCAUUGCAAAUACUUUAUGAAUGUUACUAGAGAUGGUGAUAGACAUGAUAUAUCCCUCCAAAAAAUUUCAUUUCCAAACUCAACUUAUAAAAAAUAUACAUAAAGACAAUUUUUUAGAAGUUUUAUUAUGCGGGUCACUGAAGAAACCUCAUGUAAAAAUACCAUUCACACAUACGAUUCCUUAUGUGAACCACACUACUACAAAGCUAAACUUCAAUAUUACCACAUCACUACUGGUUCAUGAUGUUAAGAUCAAUUAAUACCGAUUCAAACAUCUCAAACCAGACAAUGAUUCGGCCCGACAUAUAAAUCAAUUCAACUACUCAUGGCCGCUGAAGUGAUGGAAUGUUAAGUCUCAUCAUGCAUGGUACAAAAAUCGAUGAAGACCUCAAACUCCACGAAGGGUCAUCAGUCUUCGAUAUAUACCACCUGAUUACAUCUUUGUAAUAUCAUCAAAGCUAACUUAAUUUGUUCUCAUUCAAAACGGGUGAAGAUUCCUAUGUUAUCACGCGAAGUACCUCUUUCCCUUAUUAUUUGUGCUCAACUUGUGAGCAGAGAAUGCUGUAAAAAACAAUUAUCUUUUAAGUGAAAUGGAGAAUUUCUUUUUUUAAAUGAAUAAUAUAAUUCUCUGUUUAACUUAAACAAAAAAUUAUUUUUUAUUAAAUGAAUACAAUUUGUUAAACAAUAAAAUGAAUACAAAAUGAAAUCUAAGCAGCACUACUCCAAUAUUUUUUCCAAGUCACACUUGCUCUUGUUGGCCACCAGCCGCCUUGGUUGUUGGUCUGUCCCGGCGGCUACCUCCUCUGUGCACCCGUGAUAUUGAGAUCGAUGGAAGGAUAAGGAACACACAGGUGGGCUAUCUGUCUUUAUCAGAAAAAGAAAAGUGGACUGGAAUGGAAUAUGGUAAGCAAAGCAACCAUGUGCACACAGCUUCUUCUGACCACACAAUAUAUUAUCCAUGCGUUGGGUGACGUAAGCAUGAAAUCCCAUGAUGUCCGUCCACGAUAUAUCUUCGCUCCGAUCUAUACCAAAUCCAAUCCUUUAAUUUCUUUAUGUUGGCCUGCUAAAUGAGUUUAAUUUUUAUUUCUCAGACUCCCAUGUCCCAUGGACUUCAGUAAUUAACUACUUGUUAAAAGAGUACGUAAUUAAGAUCAUAGACAUUUUCAUGCCCACUUUUUGUAGUUUUUUUUUGAAAGACCCACUUUUGGUACUGCCUUGAUGUCUAAAAUGAGUUACAUUUGGAUCCGGGAAGUACCAUGCGUACUGAAAUCGUGUACCUUGCUGAAUUCGAUCGCAAGCACCAUCCUGGAAGUAUAUAUGCUAGAACUGUGGAAAGAUGAGCGUGCAAUCUACCUGCUAGGCCACGGCCAUAACUCAGAAAAUUUGUCGACGGAUCAAAAAUAUUUUGAGAUGAAGAAAUCUGAGGAUUCUUCGAAACCAUGUUGCCAACCUAGCUUCCACUAACAGUCUGCCAAAAGUAGGCCAUGCAAGAGACCAAAGGAGUCAUAUCCAUGCCUUGUUUACUGUUGCCAGAUGCUUAAAGUCACUGAAAGCACGUGGCUGCAGUUUGGAAGAUAGACAUAGCUGGGGCCAUAUCGUAUAUCCAUCAUGCAUUGAUGGCCGACACAACAGCGUCGUCUAGCUUGGACACAAGUGGCAAAUGGAUCAAUUUGCAUGCCCAUGAUAGGUCGUCAACAGUCCACGGAUGAUUUAUUUUGGUAUAUGUGGGCUAACCUUCAACAGUCCUACUAGUUUUGCUUUUCUGCCAGCAUGAACGAACUGACGAAUGUCAUCACUUAUGCUUCAAUGUGGAGCUUAAUUAGUACGGUCGACGUCUCGACAUGAUUGUUGAGAAUGAAAUGAAAUGGAAUGACAGAACGGAGUGGAAUGGAUUGAUUUCUCUGUUGUCAAUGUUUACAUAUAUGUACACUUGGGCUGUCAAUGUUUACACAUAUAUACACUUGGGCAGGAAGAUCCAAUCGGGACUAAUUAUUCAGGACUAAAGGUCCCUCACUUUAGUCCCGGGUAAAUUUUUCACGCGAAAUAUGCGGGUACGUGGUACGUGGGAUUCAAACCCGCAACCUGUUGUCUCAUGCGUAGCUUCCUUACCAUCUAAUCUACACAAUACAUCUCACUGAGUAAGAGCAGCUAUCCUUCUGUAUUCACCUGUGGGGGACCCUGCUUUAAUCCCGGUGGUGGCCUUUUGGUCUUGGUUGGUAUUACCAACUGGGACUAAAGGGGUCUCCAUAGGUCUCCAUGGACCACGAAAUUAAGAUUAGAGAUUAAAACCUCUGUAGUCCCGGGUCCAAAACCGACCGAGAUCUUUUUUGAGGAUCUAAGGUCAUUUCUCUACCAGCUGAGAAAAAGUUUUUUAUUGCCAUUUUUCAAAUACAUCGUUUCUUGUUAGCCAUUUUGAUACAUACUCUCGGUAUAAGCUACCUCAUAAUAAUAUCAGUAUGCACAAUCAGGAAGUUUUAUAUUCAAUCUUGUAUGCAGUAAUGCACACAAUUAGUCUUUUGGUUAGAUACUUUCUGUAUAAAUGGAAUAAAUGUGCAUCAGACGCCAAUACCAUUGGCUAAAAGAGCAUGUGAAGAAGAGGUGAUUUGAGGUCUCCUCGACACCAGAACUAUACAGGGCACAGCUAUAAUCAUCAAGAAUUCUCCAUUUUCUGCGAAGGAUAUUCCUUGUGUUUAAUCUGUCCAGUAGGCGGAACUUCAAAGCGAUGGUUUUUCUCUUAAGCUAUAUCCAUGCAUACGGCCUCAGGGCUCUGCAGGGACUACUCCAAAUUAACUGUGUGUACUCUCUUCAUUAGAGUGAGGUAGAGAAUUAGUAGGGCUCACCCACUCUGAUAAGAUUGUGGAGGGAGGAAACCAUGGCCGCUCCCAGCAUGGUCUCCUCCCACCAAGAAGUCUCCCACCGAGUCUCCUCCCACCAAGUCUCCCACCAAGGAUAAUACAGCUGUUGUGACAGCUUUCCUGUUCCCGGCCAUGUUCCUCUUGCAUACACGGGGUCCGUUACGCCGGUGGUGGAGCUUUCCAUUUGCAAGAAUCGAAAGCUAUAAUUAGCCUCUAGGUCGGUCAACAGAACAGACAAUUAACUUUAAAGGGAGGGACCAGCAUGUGCUACAAUGCAGCACUGUAGUACAGCGUACAGUAGCUAGAGCCCCACCAAGCAUAGAACCUUGCAAGGCCUGAAAUUAAGGGGCCGGCGCACUUGGACGCGUAGAAUAAUGGCGCAACAUGCUGGGUGGUUCUCCUCGACCAAAAUUAAAGCAACGAAUCAAGGCGGGCCCUUACGAUCAAAGCUAGUCGAUCGUCUCCGUGGUAUUUGUGCCCCGAUGAUGCACACAUUAAUUAUGUAUUAUUUGUGUUCACUGAAUUUAAUUUCUUCCGCUGAGAAGAAAGCAAGUGUAUCGGAAUCUUCAUCUCGCUACCUAGCAUGCCCUGGUGAUGCUACUGUGUUACUAUAAGGUAGCUCAUAAUAUCCAUGUCUUGUUUACUGAUGCCAGUUGCUUAAAAUAACUGAAGAUAUAGAGCUGGGGCCAUAUCCGUAUAUCCAUCAUGCAUUCGUACGUGGCCGCCACAACAGCGUCUAGCUAGAUGGUAGGUCGUCAACAGUCCACGGAUGAUUAUUUUGGUAUAUGUGGGCAAACCUUCAACAGUCCUACUAGUUUUGCUUUUCUGCCAGCAUGAACGAACUGACGAAGGUUCCUGCAGAGGUUUCUACUCAAGGUAUGAUGAGUAAUUUCAUCACUUAUGCUCCAAUGUGGAGCUUAAUUAGUACGGUCGACGUGUCGACAUGAUGCCCAUAGCACUCGUCGGUGAUAUAUGCAUUUAAGCAUUUGGAAUUUCAUUCUUCAGUUAAGGAAGAAACAAAAGUAGCAAUCUCUUAGGCCCACUUGUGGAAGUGAUCUUUAGUUCCGGUUGGAGAGACACACAGGUCUCGAAAUCCGAUUGGGACUAAUUAUUCAGACUAAAGGUCCUCCUAUUUAGUUCCAGGUAAAUUUUUCACGUAAAAUAUGCGCGUACACUAUGCGUGGAAUUCGAACCCGCAACCUCUUGCCUCAUGCAUAGCUUCCUUAUUACCAUCUCACAGCACAUCUGACUGAGUAGGAAAUGCUAUCCUUAUGUAUUCACCCGUGGGGACCCUUUAAUCCUGGAGGUGGCCCUUUAUUCUAGUUGAUGUUACUAACCGGGACUAAAAGGGGUCUCCACAUACCACGAAGGGGUCUCCACGGACCACGAAAUUAAGAUUGGAGAUUAAAGCCUCUUUAGUCCUAGGUCCAAAACCAAUUAAGAUCUGUGUUGAGUAUGGAAGGUCAUUUCUCUACCAGUAGCCGCUUUCCAAAGAAUGGAUUAGCAAGCUAGGCAGUAAGGCAUGUAUAUAUGUUUUCUCUUUUAUUUUUGCUUGUUCUUGUACUUGGAAAUUUUUACUUCCUGCUCGUGCAAUUUGAUAUUAAGUGCCAAGGUAAAUAGACAUCUACGCUGUACAACUCUUUUAUUAGACAAUGCCUGAAAGUUCCUGCUCUCACAAGUGAGAAGGAGCAAAUCCACAAUUAUUAUAUGUAGUAUCUAAACACUAGAUAUGACCACUAGCAAAUAUCAUGACAAAAAACACAUAUUAAUAACAAAUCUUUUGUCCUGAUUAGAAACACCAACUGGGACAAAAUAUAGGAGCGCGCGUCUCCAUGUGCACAGGUGCAUAACAAGUCUUUCUUAUGUUCUCCAGGCACAUCUUUCUUCUCCACCUCCUCCUCUUCCUCUCACGCGCACAGGUCUUUCUUAUCUCUUCCUCCUCUCAGGUGGUUGGCUCUCCUCCCCUCCUCUUUUUUCCCACCCUCUCCCCCUCUACUGCCCCUCCCUUUCCUCCUCUGCUCGCCCCUCACUGGCAGUGAGGAGCGGCAGCGGGGUGAGGGCAGGUUGCGGCGCGCGUGCAGGGCGGGCAGCAUCGGCGGCGUGGAGUGGGCGGCAGAGCGGUGCGGGGGGCGUGGACAAGGCGGAGCGGCGCGGUUGGAAGAGGAGUGGGCGGCACGGGCGGAGCGUGGGGCGGGGCGGAGUUGGCUGGGCAGCGUGGGAUUGGGGCGCGGGGGCGGAGGCUGGCGGGUGUGGCGGCGCGGGUAGGUGCGUGAGUGGAGGCGGAGGAGGCCGGCGGGUGCGGACGGCCAUCCGGCAGAUGUGGGUUUUAUUUUUUCUUUUUUGUAAUUUUUUAACACCAACUGGGACUAAGUGAGGUAUAUUUGGACACGGGGAGUACGCAUUCAAAAUCGUGUUCCUCGAUGAACUCGAUCGAGUAUUUCUCUGAAUACGCCAUCAUUGGAUAUGUAUGCUGCUUCUGCGUGGAAAGAUGACCCUGACUUCUUACGGACCGAGAAAUAUAUAUCUCAGAAAAUUGGUCCACUCAGAAAUUUCCUCGAAAUCAUGUUGCCGAUUCCGUCCGCCAACAAUUAAUCUGCCAAAAGUAGGCCAAGUAUAUAACAGACCAAAAAUUUCAAUUGCACAGCCUUGGAGGGAAGUCAGUCGUCUAAGAAUAUCUUGAAUAGAAAAGGAAAAGGCUUGGAACUUAUGUCUUGUUUGUUCAGUGUUGCGAGUUGCUUAAAACCAUUGAGCUCCGUUCAACAUUCAGAGCACUGCACUGUUCAAUAUAUUGUAUAUCCAUCAUGAAUAAUGCAUGGCCACCACAUUUUUUUUGGCCAAAGGCAUGGCCACCACAUCUAUUUGUUUAUUUGACCAAAUGGAACAACUUGCUUGCAAAUGAUUAACAGUCCACUGCUCAGAAAAGGUUAACAAUCCACGGAUCAUUAAUUUUGUUGAUGUAGAAAAAAUAAUUAGCUGCAGAUAGGAGCACUCAUGUAUUGAUUUGGAGGAGACUCUAACUUGGGCUGAUAUAAGGUCUAGCAAUCAUGAAAUGCAUGGUGUAAAUAGUAAAAGGCAACUAUCACAGCUAUAUAAAGAUUAUAAAGUAUUUACAUGCAUGGUAUUUUGUUAGCGAAUUAACAAAUAAGAUAAAAGCAAAGGUAAUGGAAUUUUGAAUUUUUUUAUUAAAAGAAAGAAAGGCAGUAGUAAAACAGGGAGAUAUCUACUCUGCAUGCCUAUAUAAGAGAGGUAGGCAACAGCUUUUUAAGCACUGGGAAUGCCUGGUAGAAGGAUCCAAUACCAAGUAGCCAUGACUCAACUGCAGGUUAUGUGGCUGCUUCUUCUUUCUCCCGCCCUAGUACUCUCCCAGGUGCCAGCACCGGUUGUCUCUGAAACGCUGCGACGAGCACCACCACCGGGCUGCAAUACCACUACCAGGUGCGGCGGCGUAACCAUUCCCUACCCCUUCGGCCUGAGCAAACCCUGCUCUUGGGACAAAUUCUUCAAACUCUCCUGCAAUCGUAGCUUUAGCCCUCCAAGACCGUACUUGGGCAACGUCGAGGUGAUGGACAUAACGGUGGAGACAGGCGAGAUGCGCGUCUACAGCUCCGUCGCGCACCGCUGCUUCAACUCGUCGAAGGAAUCCGGCCAUCGUCCAUCACAGAGGUACAACUUCACCGGCACGCCGUUCCUGGUGAAGCCGGGGAGGAACGAGUUUACGGGCAUCGGGUGCUACAACCUGGCGGUGCUCCGUGGCAAGGAAGACAGCAGCUACUUCAGCGCCUGCUUGACGACGUGCACUAGCCUGGAUGAUGCGUCUACCGGCAACAGCAAUGGCUGCGCAGGGCUCGGCUGCUGCCAGAUACAAUUGCCGACCGAGCUCAACAUGAUCCGUGUACAAUUGCCGGAGCAAGACGACAACACUACAUGGAAUUUCAGCCCCUGCAGCUACGCCUUGGUGGCCGAGAAGGGAUGGUACGUACACGUCCCCUUAAUUUUUUUCGUUCAGAAAUAGAACUGUGCAGUGUAGCUACACCUGAUUCAUGUAAGAUUUUAGCUUUAGGCUUUAACUGUCGAUCUUUCUGUCUGUAUUUUAGGUACAAAUUCAGCCUGAACGACCUGAAUGGUACCGGAGAGAUGGCAUAUAACGUACGGGUUGGUCACAGAAGCGCCCCUUUGGUGCUUGACUGGGCCAUCGAUGUUUCCAGGGAUGGAGCCUGCGUCAGUUCCAACAGCUAUCGCGUCACCGUGAGAGAUGACCAGGGGUAUCUCUGCAAUUGCUCCAAGGGAUACCAAGGGAAUCCAUACGUCACGGAUGGCUGCAAGAGUAAGCGCGAUUUAUUCCUAACCUCAGAUUAUAAACACUCAUAGAGUACUAUUCAUUUAUUUCUAUGGCAGUUGCAUUUUUUUUACAUAAAACAUAAUUGAACAUGCCAAAAUUCCUAAGUUGAAAGUGAUUGAAACAAGCAGAAACUUUUCCUUAGUAACCUAAAAUUCAUAUGUUGAAAGUUGAAAGAAGCUAUUUAUUUGUUCAUUAUCCCUUUCUUAAAAAGCCUAACAUCGUUUGGAGUUACUUUUGGAACUGUGCAGUCGAUCUUCAAGUGCUCAAGAUUGUAUUGCUCGAAAUUUUCUUAACAAAUAGUUUCAAAAAGUACCAGCUUUCUUCCUAUAUUUUGCAUACUUUUUUUACAAGACAUUAGUGGACAAAAUAUUGCGCUAAUUCCAGAAAAUGACAAUCUUUUUUGUGACUACUGGUAAAUAAUAUGCAGAUUUUUUCAGAAAGUGUAAUCAUAAUGACCACUUGAAUGUUGACAUAUUAUAUGCAGAUAUCGACGAAUGCGAAUCUCCAGAAUUAUAUCCUUGUCCAAGUGGCUCCAAUUGCAAGGACACAGAAGGUAGCUACAUGUGUCCAUGCAAAUUUGGCCUAAGAGGAAAGGACUGUCGUCCCAUAUUUCCCGCGCCUGCUGCUGCAGUACUAGGUGAGCACAAAAGUCAACACAAUAAGAUCGUUAGAUCUUUUGGAACUCCAAGUUAUUUUACAUUUCCAUUGAUUAUUUCUCUUUUCACUUGAUCUUUCAUAUGUAAUUUUUGUUAAAUGAAAAUCCUACCGAUAAUGUUAUUUUUACUAUUUUUGAACAUUUUGACAAGACAUGAAAACUUUCAGGAAUGUAACAAUUCCAUUAAAAUAUUCAUGGAUGUUCACCAUUGGAAACUGUACAGUUGGAUUUAUCGGUUGCAAAAUAGAUAGUUACAUAUAUCCUUAAUUUUUUAGAGUUCCUAUAUGUAUCCUUAAUAAUGAGUAUGAUUAUAACAAAAACAAGGUAUUAUAGUGGGGAAAGUGUAAAAGACAGAUACAUGCUGUGUUUGCAGCAACCACUGUCGCAAGCCUAUUUCUGGCGCUCCUACUCUGGUCCAUUCACAAGGAUCGAAAGCGGCGAAUCAAGACAGUUUUCUUCGACCAAAACGGGGGUAAAAUACUGAAGGGUGCAGCUGGCAUCAACAUAUUCACAGAAAAGCAGCUGAUCAAGUUCACAAACCACUACGACACCCUCAUCGGAAGAGGUGCCUUCGGCAUGGUGUUCAUGGGAACCACUGACGAAGAGCAGAGAGUUGCGGUUAAACGGUCCAUCAUAGAAGACAAGGAACUUCAUGGAAGAGGGAACCUUCAGCACGGGGAGGACAUUGUGAACGAGAUCACCUUCCAGUUCCGGAACAGCCACCCAAACCUGGUCCGGCUUGUCGGGUGUUGCUUGGAGACAAAUAUCCCUGUGUUGGUCUUCGAGUUCAUCAGUAACGGGAACCUCUAUAACCUGCUGCAUGUUUCAACGCAUAAGGUUGUCCCGCUACGGACACGCCUCAAGAUUGCCAUCGGAUCUGCAGAAGCUCUGGCCUAUAUCCACUCGCAUGGUGAUCACGACUGCGUCGUCCACGGUGAUGUCAAGUCUGCCAACAUCCUCCUAGAUGAUAACCUCAUGCCCAAGGUCUCCGAUUUCGGAUCGUCCAAGCUUUUGUCGAUUGAUAGGUAUGCCAGAGCUGUGGCCGCAGAUAUGAGCUACGUGGAUCCAGUGUAUAUGAAGACGGAACGUUUUGUGAAGAAGAGUGACGUCUACAGCUUUGGCAUGGUUCUCCUUGAGCUGAUCACCCGGAAGACUGUUAAGUAUGGCAAAAGUAAAAUAAAUAGCCUCCCCAUGGACUUUGUCAGGUGUUGUAAGGAGAUGGGCAGCGGACGGGAGAUGUACGACAUAGCCAUUUCAUCUCAUGGCGACACUCAAUGUCAUCACUGCAUAGAUUGCCUUGACAAGAUCGGCGCUCUGGCGGUUCGGUGUCUCAAGGAAGAUGUGGAUGAGAGACCGACAAUGGCAGAGGUUGUGGAUGAAUUGAAGCUAGCGUCAGAGGCAGUGGAGAAAUGCAAGCAUCAUGUGAACUUAAUAGCAUACGAUCGCUCAUGUUAUUUGGAGGUAUGUUAAAGUCAUGUACAUAUUGGUGAAGACAGCAAUGCAAGCAUGCUUGGAAGGCUCAAGCUAUAGCUACUUUUUAGUACUAUCUUGAACCGUAGAUUACAUCACUAUAUAUAAAACUACUUGUCCAGCUUGUAUGGAUUUAUGCACGCAAGUGUACUAUAUUUUCUGUAUUGGAAAGGGUGAGAUAGUUUGUCAGCUACUUUAUUGUAUCCCGUAAUUUCAUAAUUCAGAAAAUAUAUUAUGUUUGGCAUAUGUUUGUUUUUUUUAACGAAUGGGCUCGAGAUUCUGCUUAUUUUAUUGAUGAAGAAGGAGCGAGUAGAAGCCAGCUAUAGCUGGUUCCAUUUCAAGAAAAGAAAAAAGAUUACUCUUGCAAUAUUAUGCCCCCAAGUCCCUUAAUUUGCGCCGCCAGUAAUCCAGUUAUGUUUGGCAUGUGAAGUAGAACAGUUGGUAGUAAUAGUAUCCUAAGAGUUGUUAGGGCAGUCCCAACCUACGGGUUGCAUAUUUAUAGUCGGGCAAUGCUAAGAGUUUUACAUGGGCAGGAAUUGUUCAUGCGUAUGGUUCGGAUCUAUAUACAUCAAGAAUAUCUCUAAGCUCUAUCUCUAAGCUAACCGAACAAAUCUUAUAUACAACUCCUAUUGCUAUCUGUUACAUGAGAUAUCAUCUAUUCUAACAACCUCCCUCAAUCUAAACUUCUCUUUCUCUUGAGGUUUAGAUUGCAUUUGAAGUCUUCUAGCUUUCCAACAGAUAGUGCUUUAGUGAAGCCAUAAGCAAUUUGCUCCUUGGUGGAUAUGAGCUGAACCUGCAAUUGUCUCUUUGCUACUCGUUCUCUUACAAAGUGGAAGUCAAUCUCUGUGUGUUUCGUUGAUGCAUGAAAGACAGGAUUUGCUGAUAAAUAAGUAGCCCCCAGAUUGUCACACUACAAGAUCGGCGGAUGUUCCAAAGUAACACCCAAUUCUUUUAACAGAGAUUCCAACCAAAUCACUUCAGCUGUAGGAUUAGCCAUUGAUUUGUAUUCGGGCUCUGUACUAGAACGUGAUACUGUAGCUUGUUUCCUAGCACUCCAAGAAACAAGAUUAGGACCAAAGAAAAUAGCAAAGCCACCAGUAGAUCUUCGAUUAUCAACACUUCUAGCCCAAUCAGCAUCAGAGAAGGUGCUUAACAGUAAGGAACGUGACUUUUGAAGUGUUAACCCAACAUCCAAAUUAUGCUUUACAUCCCGAAGAAUUCUUUUAACAUCAUUCCAAUGAAUGCUAGUGGGAGCAUGUAGAAAUUGGCAUACCUUGUUAACUAAGAACGGCAAGUCUGGGUCUGGUAAGCGUGAGAUAAUGAAAUUGGCAUACCUUGUUAACUCAUAACCCAACAAUGUUCCAUCAUGGCUUGAUAAUUUUUCUAAUGUUGAUAAGCGUGUUGAUGACGGCUUGCAAUUUGUCAUCCCAACAUGAGCAAGAAUCUCUUGUGCAUAAUUCUCUUGUGACAACAAUUUGCUAUCACGUUGGACUUCCACACCCAAGAAAUAGUGUAGAUCACCUAAAUCUUUUAAGGCAAAGUCCUUGCGCAAAUCCAACAGUUGAGCUAAAACUGCUUUAUUAGAAGAGCUUGUAAUAAUAAUGUCAUCAACAUAAAUAAGCAUAUAGAUUGUGACAUUUGACUUUUUAUAAAUAAACAGAGAAGUAUCUAAUUUAGAAGUAUUGAAUCCAAGAUCAAUAAGCUUAGAACUUAGUCUAGUAUACCAACCUCUCGGAGCUUGCUUCAAUCCAUAGAUAGCAUUAUCAAGCUUACACGCAGGUGUGGAGCAUCUGUAAUCUCAAUCCCUGGUGGUUGUCUCAUAUAAACCUCCUCUUCUAGAACAUCAUGUAAGAACGUAUUUUGAACAUCUAAUUGCCUUAGAAACCAUCCUCUAGAGAUAGCAAUAGAAAGUACAGGGUGGAUUGUAGCAAUAGAAAGUACCACAUGACUGAAGGUGUCUUCAUAAUCAAUCCCAUACCGUUGUUGAAAACCUUUGGCUACCAAGCAAGCUUUGUAUAUGUGUAUUAUACCAUCUGCUUUCCUUUUGAUUUUGUAAACCCAUUUGCAAUUAAUUAGAUGUGUACCUCUUUUCUCCUCCACAAGAUGCAAGUUUGAUUUCUAAGCAACAUUGUUUAUUCAUCCUACAUAGCUUUUCUCGAAUUUGGAUCAUCUAGUGCCUCCUGUUAGCUUAUUGGUUCUUCUACUAAAAAAAUAUUGCACCAUCUCACAGUACCAUCAAUAUGUAAUCGAGGUUUAACAAUAUCACUUUGAAGCCUUAUGCGAUGCCUUGGUGUAGAGCUUUCAAUAUGCAAAGCUGGUUUUUCCACAGCGGAUCCCAAGUUGGAUGCAGAAGAUCCACCGCCUGGAGUCAUCAGAGUGGAAGCAGGCACCUGUGGUGGGCUGCGAGCCUCCUGAUUGGAGGAGCCAGGCGCGGGAAGUGUUGUUGUGCCACACGUUGGGACCCCAGUCGUGGGUGUCCUCGUGGGGGACAUGGGUGUGGAUGCCACUGUGGCUGUCCCCCCACGUUGAGCGCUCAGAUUGGCACCAGGAGAGGGAGGGGAGGGGGUAGUGCCGCCUGGAGAGGGAGGGGACGGUGGGAGGUGGCGGAUCCGGGAAAGGGACAGGAGGGGGCGGCGCCAGGAGCCAGGAGAGGGAGGGGAGGUGGCACCACCGGGAGAAGGAGGGGAGGGGGUGGCGUCGCCGGGAGAUGGAGGGAGGGUGAGGGUGGGAGGCGGCCGGGGCAAACUGAGGAAGAGGGGAGGGUGGGAGGCAGCCGAGGAGCUUGACUUAUAUGAAAAUUUAAGUUUGCCGAGUAACAAAGAUGUAGCUUUGCUGAGUGCCACAUCAUGGGCACUCGGCAAAACUUUUUUCUUCAUUUUUCUUCUUUUCCUUCUCUUCCUUCUUUUCCAUAAUGUGUUCUUCUAAAUUUGUUCCGAUGCACUUUAAAAAUAUCUUGUUAAAUUCACUCAACAAAGCAUAUUUGAUUUUUCUACGAAUUAAAUUCCAUUAUUUAUGCAGUUAUAGCUCAAAUUCAAUUUAUAUCCAUUAAAAUUUUAUAAUUGUACUUAAUAAAUUAAAAUUUUCAAACAGUUCUAAAAAAUUACUAAAAUUUCACAUGAAACAAUCUAUAUUCUCUAUUUCAUAUCCGAAAAGGUUUGUAGUCAAACCACAAUUCGACCGUCUCUUUCACUCCAAAUCAUACUGAAUCCUUCUCAACGCUACGUUUCUUCUUCUGAUAUGCUUCGGUUUGUAAACAUCGUACGUCACAAGGGCAAAAGACAAAAAAUUUGUUUGUUUACCGAAUGCAAAAAAACACUCGGCAAACUGCAAAAACAAACACUCGAUGAAGAGCUUGUUUGCUGAGUUCAAAAAAACACUCGGCAAACAUGCAAGUUUACCGAGUGCAAUUAUUUUACUGAGUGUUUUUCGCGCAGCACUCGGCAAAGAGCUUGUUUGCUGAGUGCCCGAAGGAUUACACUCGGCAAACUACCCUACACUCGGCAAAGAGCUUGUUUUCGGUACUGUGACUCUACGAGUACUGCCAGAACAAGCUAGUCUUCCUCCAUUCCAUGCCAUACGCUGGAGCACUAUCUAUCCAUCACCAUUCCUAUGUUUGAUUCUUUUUUCUUACUUUUCAUGGACAAGACAUGCGCAUGAAAAGAUCGCGAGUUCUAGCGUUAUCUGCUCGUUACAAGGUCGCCUCAGUUCGUAAAUACCUCCGCAAAACUUAGGCAACAUCUAUCAUCUGUCCAUACGAUAGCAGACUAAUGCAAUCUACUGCAACUUCAUCCGGUUCCUGGACAUACUGCCGAACUUUUCCUCAGAAAAGAAAAUAUACUGCCCAACUUUUUUUUAAAAAAAGAUAUCUUCGCUUUGCACUACCAGGGAGGCGGGGGUCGUCAGUGGCGGGAAGGCGAGGAGCUGGCUGGGGAGGAGGAUUCGGAGCAGGACGAGGCUAGCAGCGCGGAGGAAGAGGAGGGGCUGGCGGACGAGGACGAGGAGGGGAGGUGUGGAGAUGCCGGUGGAUGGGGGGAGGGGACGGGGGGAGAGAUUUUUGUUUUUUUAAUUUUUUGACACCCUCUAGUACUUGUUGUUUCAACUGGUAGUAGAAUCCCCCCUCUACACAACUAGAAAAAUAGCCUCUAGUCCCAUACCCUCCUCUAGUACUGGUUGGACAACCGGUACUACCCAAUCAGUACUAGAGGGGGUCCCCUCUAGUACCGGUUCAAAUAACCAGUACUAGAGGGGGUUAAAAAAUAAUAAAAAAAUCAAAAUCCCCCACUCCUGGCCGGCCCCCCCCGGGUCCCCCGCUGCCACUGACCCCUCCUCCUCCUCCUCCACCCUUCCCCACGCCAUCCCCUUCCACCCCCGCCUCAUCCUCCUCCCACCCUCAUCCCGCCGCUGCCAUCCCCCUCUGCCGCUGGACCCCUCCUCCUCCUCCUCCCUCCUCCUCCGCCCCUCCCCAUGCCGGUCCCCUCCACCCCUACCUCCUCCUCCUCUCGGCCCCCAUCCUACUGACGCCACCGCGCGCAUCCUGGCCAUAGCCGCUACCCUGCCCGUCACAGCCGCUAGCUGCCCCUCCCCGGCCAUAGCCGCCACCCUGCCCCGCCGCUCGCCACCGCUCCUCACCACUGGUGAGGGGCGAGUAGGGGGGGAGGGGGAGGGGAGGCAGAGGAGUGAGGAGAAAGGGAGGGAGGCCGCCGGCGUGCGGAUCAGAUAAGAACGAGGAGAGAGGGAGAGAGGGAGAGGGAGAAAGAGAGAGUGAGAGAUUGAGAAGAGAGGCAAUGUGCAUGGGGGUGGAUGAGAACGAAAAUUUCGAAGCGAGCAUGCAGUGGAGGCAGUUCAAUAAUGUCCGCCCAUGUAUGUGAAUAUGUGAUACAAACUCCUAUGUCUCAUUCAAUACUAUAGUUUUUUUCCGAGGGAUUCAAAUAUAACUAUCUUUUUUGUUACUGAAAAUGUAGUCAAAUAGAGGUUAUAAGAUUGGCUUAAGUUAACACCACUACUUUAAAGAUUUUCAACUACCGAAACCAUACGGUGCUAUCAGAGAUAAUUUUUUGUUACAUUUUCUGAUUCUCACAAAAAGUUAUUUAGUGAGUAGUUAGUUCACUUGUCACUAUGGGUUGAAACACCCUACAACUCAUGAGGUGUUAUCUAUGAAAUAAUAUUUUUUAAAUUAAUUCAAUAACAUUUAUGUCCAUGUGUAAAAGUUUGAAACAAUUUAAAAUCAUUUGUCAAGUAUUUAAAUCCUUUUCCAAUUAAUGAUAUUUUUUAUUUGUAUCACUAAAUUUUUAUUCCACUUAUUGGAUGAUUACACAUUUAAUAGAAAACCUAAAGAAUUUUAACUUAAUUAUUUCUUUCAACUCAAAAACCCAUUAAGCUGUCACAAACAUACAAGUUUUUCAUUUAAUGUUACGGAUUGAAGGAUUAAGUUUGAAAGAUGUAUAUUUUUAAUACAAACUUUUUCAUACAAUCUCGGAUGAAUAUGGACUUUAUAUCAAAGUUGUAGACUUAGAUUAGAUCUAAAAUUGUGUAGUAGAUAACUUUUUCAUUUAAAGUUGUUUAAUAGCUCAAAAUAUCAUUGUUAUAAUUUCAAAAUCUUGAAUCUUAAAAUAUUCAAAAUCUCUCUAAUUUCAAAAUCUUGAAUCUUAAAAUUUUCAAAUGACCUCGGAUGCAAACAAUCUCUAUAUCAAAGUUAUAGUGCUUAACGAGAUAUAAAAUUUUGUAGUUAACAAAUAUUUCAUUUAAAAUCAUUUAGCUGCCCAAAACUUCAUUAUAAUGUUAUGAAGAAACACAUUUUGCCAGGGUAGCGAUCCAGGUCUCCAGAAUCGAGCUCUCCCAUUGGCCCCAACCUCCUCUCCCUUUAUCCAUCCCCUCUUAUCCUUUCCCUCUCCCUCUCUCCUUAUCCCAGCCCGUGUUGUCCCUACGCGCUAGCCCUACCUCGAUUGGUCUCCUCCCGGUCCCGCCGCAUCAUCCUCCACCGCCAGCCUCGCCUUGUCCCUCACCACCGAUGCCGUCCUCCAGCCCUGGCCCGUGUCGUGCCCGCAUGCCGGCCCCACCUCGGUCACCUCCGACCCCGCCGCCUCGUCUCCCAUUCUCGGUGCCAUUCUCCAGGUCCCACCGCCUCAUCCUCCGACCCUAGCACCUCGUCCUCUGGCCCUGCCUCGGUCUCCUCUGGCCCCACCGCCUCCUCCUCCCCCGCCGGCGCCAUCCUCCAGGCCCCGGCCCACGUCGUCCUUCGGCCUGCCGCCUCGUCCGCCCCCUUCCGUCGCCUCCUCCAAUCCGAGCCGUCCCCGACUCGCUCGUCCCCCGCCGGCGAUACCAUCCUCCAGCCCUAACCAGCGUCAUCCUUGCACGCUGGGCCCGCCUGACUCCUGUCGGCUGUCUCCUUCGGCCAGCAACCCCUGGGCCUCGAGCGGCGGGGACGGGAGUGGCAGGAGCUAGCACAAAGAGCCAUUUGUACUUGCGGGUGCUCUGCUCGUUAGCACAGUGCCCUUUCACCUGCCAGCAAAAAUGCUGUUUGGCCUGGUGAAUUAUAUAUACACUAUGCACUUUAUGAUAGCAAAAAUGAGCUUUUGCACCCAGAGUGACUGACUGUGUUAGCUUACUUAUUUAAUAGGUACAUGUUCAGUCGGAGAGACCUCGUUCGUGCUAAGAACGACAGCUUUGCUAGCUGGGUUAAACAGGAAAAGAUCCCGAUGGUGCUUGACUGGGCCACCAGGGGUAAUGGCUCUUGCCGACCCCCAGCAAAGGACGCAGGUCCUUCGGCAAAAUGGACAACUCCUGAUUGUGUCAGUGAACACAGUUUCUGUGUUAAUGCCACACAAGGGCCUGGGUACCUAUGCAACUGUUCCGAGGGAUAAGGGGGCAAUCCCUACUUCUCGGGGGAUGCACAAGUUAGUUUUCUCUAUUUCCUUGCCUUUAAUUAGAUCGGAUGCAAAUCUAGCUAAAUUACUACUUUUUGCCGGCUUCUACAUUUUUGUGGAAUGUAUGUUUUGAUGGACACCUAAGUAAUUAUUAGAAAACAAUGGCUGUAUAAUGACUGUGAACUGAAGACGUACUUUUGGACUAAAAGGAGAUGGCAAAAUUGACAACGGAUGCCAGCCUACAAGUGAAAUGAACGGACGUUAAAAGACGAAAGCAAAGGAGGUUUUUUGACAAAAAUGGUGGUGAGAUACUGAAGAAGAUGACAAACAGCUACAAAGAAACUAUAGGAGAAGGCGCCUUUGGCAAGGUCUACAUAGGGACCAUUGAUGAAGGCACCCAACGGGUCGCGGUUAAGCGUGCCGCCUCUGUGAAAGGCGCCUCGCUCCCGCAGGAGGAAUUCGUGAAUGAGAUCACCAUCCAGUUCCGGAUCAGCCAUGCAAACCUAGUGCGCCUCAUUGGGUGCUGCCUUGAGACAGACGUUCCCAUGCUGGUCUUUGAGUUCAUCUCGAAGGGAAGCUUGUUCAAGGUGCUACACGGUGCUGAUGAUGAUCAAGAGGCACUCAGGCUGCUUGAGCGCGUAGACAUUGCCAUUGGCUCUGCAGAAGCUCUAGCUUAGAUGCACUCACAUGGUGAUGGUGGCCAGAACCACGUCCAUGGGGACAUCAAGUCUGGAAAUAUCCUCCUCAGUGAUGAUCUUACGCCCAAGGUCUCUGACUUUGGGUCAUCCAAGCUCGUGUCUGUUGCCAGCAUGUACUCCAAGUGGUGCGUGGCGGGGGACAUGAGACCCAGUAUAUAUAAAAUCUGGCCGUUUCACAGAGAAGAGCGACGUGUACAGCUUUGGUGUCGUGCUCCUGGAACUCAUCACGAGGAAGAAAGCCUAGUACGGUGACAACAGCCUCCCUCUAGACUUCGUCAAGUGCUGCAAGGAGGAGGGCAAUGGAAGGAAGUUGUACGACAGAGACAUCUUGCCUGAUGAUGAUGCUCAGGCUCAUCGUCAUAUGGAGUGCCUUGACAGGAUCGGCGCACUCGCGGUUCGAUGUCUCAAGGAAGAUGUGGAUGAGAGACCGACCAUGGCAGAGGUGCUGGAUGAGCUUAAGCAAGUGAAGGCAAUAGCCAGCGGAGGCUCAUCAGGUUCUGUGGCAAGCUAAAGGCAGGUAGAUGAUGAAGCACUACAGAAAUUUUGGUGUAUCUCGGUGUGAGCUUAUUGUAUCUUAAGGCCACUAGAGAAAUUUCGGGACGGUGUAUCUUCGUUAACAGAGACAUGCUGAAAACCGCAGGGGAUUCUGCUCUGUUUCUGAAAUGCUAGAUAAAUUGCAGCAAGUUCUCUAUUCAGAAAAUAAAAUUGCAUCGCCACACCGUGGACUUUUCGAAUUGCCUUACCACAAAACUGCCGCCGUGCAGGAGGAUUCUCACCGGCGGCGGACGGAACAGAGCCAAAUCGCCGAUCCAGACCGAAGCAGAGAUCCAAUUUAGGGUGGUAUUUGUGAACAACAGGGGUCUGUAUUGUCAUGCCUGCACAGCACACCAUGCGUUCGAUGUUUUACCUACAAAUGCAGAUUCUUGGUCCGGUUCCCACUAUCAAGCACAUGGGUUCCAGCAGUUUGAAAAGAAUGGAAUUCGUGCAAACUGAUCCAUUCAUGUUAUAUUCCCCCUUUGGUUGCAAAUUCUGUCAUGGCUCUUCUACAAGAGAAACUAAUUAUGUCUUUCCACUCUGCUCUCCAAACUUCACAUGAUGGUGCGGUUUGCAUCCAACAAAUGAAAAUUAGUUUGUGCUUUCCGCCUCACUAACUGAAAAUAACUUUUGAAUUUGUAAUUGCGUAACCUUCCUCAAUUUUUUUUCCACGUGUGAAGUGUAAUGAAGCAUGGUCAUUAAUUUAAUUUGUACAUUGAUCAGGAUGGGCUCCUCUGCUUCUGUCCUUUUGAAAUACCCUGUUGUAGUUCAUAACCUGUGUCACCUACGAGACAUGCACUGAGAGAUAUAUUCUACCAACUUAUGCAACUGCCGACAGGCCACCAAAUAAAUGAACCAACUUCAGGACAGGCACACCCUCGAAAGCAACACUAAUCCACGUCAGUGUUUACGUCUGUGGAGUUAUUGAUCAGGAAGCAGCAUCCGACGGUAGCCUAUACGAGGCUAUGGCCGCAAAGGUACUAGAAAAGCAUAUCCUUAGCUGUGGUUGCAUCCUUUCAUAGCUUAGCUUUAAGGACGGGAGCACACCACCGUUAUCUUCACCGUUAUCUUCAGAAGAUUCAUUCCAGAUAUCACUGUUGUUCAUUUCUGUCCAUCCAGACAGAUCUUUGGACUGUAGCAUGUAUCGAAGUGCUUGAGCUGCUGAUGCCACACCUGCACAUUUCUUUGCAAUGUCCAAUCCUAUCUUCUGUACAAACCUGCUAUAUCUCUUAAUUAUUUCUCAGCAUGUAUAAAUGAAAUUUUCCUUGCGAUAUCUUCCUUGCGCGUGGUUACUAUGACAUCAACGGUAGUGCCCUUCUUGCCCACCUGAAGCAUACUCCUCGGAGUCCCCAACUCGAUGUUCUUUUCCUCCUAUAAGUCAUCUAAAACAAUAAGAACCUUCUUGCCACGGAGUUGGUUAUCUAGGCACUGAUUUAUCAACUGUAGCAUAUCCCAAUUCUGCUGACUUCCUUCUAUUGGUAGUUGAGAAAUUAUAGAUCUUCCUAUUUUCUUUAAAUCGAAAUCUUGGGACACAUAAACCCAUAUACGAUGAUCAUACUCCUUGAAUUGGGCAUCGUUGUAAACUAGUUGUGCUAAACUACUCUUCCCCGUACCUCCGAGGCCAUAGAUAGGAACAAUCACUGUCUCGUCAUUGUUGGCACAUGUCGAUAACAGUUUUAUGAUAUCUUGCUUUUCGCCAUUCCUCCCUAUUAUUGGGUUUUCAGGCAAAAGAGAUGAUGUUUCACGAACAUCAUAAUGCGGCUCAACUGAAGUGCUAGUGCAGCCCUGUGUGAAAUUAAAAUCCCGAAAGUCCUUGUUGAUUUUCAUCAGUUCUUGUCUCAUACUCUUCAUCCUAUUAGCCACUGCAAUCUUCUUGCGUGCAACUGGUAGACAUGAGAGCACUCCUGGCUUCUGCAAGAAUUUCAUUUAUUUUUCAGUUGGAAUCUACACUAAUCAAAGAUGCACAAACUGAAGUAAGAACUGGCUACAGUUGGCUAGAUAUUUCAAAUUUAUAUUAAGAGGCCUGUAUGUUGUCUGAGAUGGCGUCGACUGAUAUUAACCGCUAUUGGCGGGUGUCAAGGCCGGUACAGGAUGGAAGGCCUUUUAAACAGGCCUGAGCACCACUGCCCGAACGGGAUUUACAAGCUUACAUGUCCCAUUAGCCUGAAGGUAUUGAGCUAUUAUCGAACAACAUCAUCAGGUAUAUGAAACCCAGCCCAAGUAGUACGCCCUGAGCAGUACAAAGGGGAAAAAAUAAACCUUGCUAAAAAAGAAGGUAUAUUUCUUUGACACAAAAUCAAUUAUAGGCAGCAUGCUUGAGCCGCUUGAGCCACAGCUGCACCAACUUCUCCUUAGCCGACCGCCUCUCAGCAUCCUGGAGCGCCGUUGAGAUGGCCUGCAGCACCGAGUUCAUGUCCUCCAGGUCGUCACCGAAGUUCCAAAGCAAAUUGGCCUGCUCCGUGAUGGCGGCGGCCAGCUUAUCUUUCGCGAUGCCGAUGACGGCAGAAGUGAACAAUCCAGCUUAGAUCUCCGCCAUGGCUGCAGAGCUCUGAGACUUGUGCGAACGGUGUCUUUGUGCGAAUGAAGCGCGUGAACAAAGCCAAGGUGCAGCAGGGUUCAGUAGUUUAGUUGAACACAAUGUUUGCAGCAUCCAUGCGCUCUUGUCUACUCUUCACUGGCGUUGACGGACAAUUAAUGGUAUCCUGAUUACCAGCUGGCGCCAGUGGAGAGUUGCUUUCUUUGAUAGCUCACAAUUUCACAUCGAUCGAGAAGAUGGAGAGUUGUUUUCUGUGCUAGUCGUCUCGGUGUAUGCAUGCACAAUUAUAUCAAAACUGAAGCACAUGUAUGCACGCUGGAACUACCAAGAUGCUGAUUUAAUUACUAUAUAUGAAAGUGUCAUCACCAACCUAAAAGCCUAUGUCUGUUCAGAACUCUGAGGCUAAAUAAACUGGUUCAUAUCACCAAUCUCCGAAGCAAUUUGCAUAGCUAUUUACUGAUCUAUGCAGCUUGGAUGUCGAUGUUAGUAGAACUUAAACAAAACCGAAGCACAUGCAUGGUUCCACACCACCGAGGCCCUUAUCUAAUCUUAGAGAUCCAAAGCGUUUUGGUAUUUACAACUCAGGCUAAAACUGGUUCCGUACCUUGCAUGUUACAAUUAAUUUUAACAUUCAAAUGAGUGAAGAAUCUUGGAAAGUGGUUAAGCAUCAGUUCUAGACACGUAAAUCAGUUUAACAAUCCAAUUAGUGAAGGGCAUCCAUCUUAGCAUGGUAAUUUCAUGCCUACUUGGCACUUUUGGUAACGUGCAAGACUUUUCUUCGUCUUGGAUUCCUGAGCCACUAGCUACUAGCGCACCCGAUCAGUGGGCCUCGCAAUUCUAUGCCAAAUCACGUGAUAGAAUGCCACUAGUUAGCACUUAUAGCCCAAAACUGAAUUUGAAGCUUUGACCUUGGAUUUUUAUGUACCGCCGUAUGCAAUGCAAUUUACUAAAACUGCUGAUGAAUGUGAUGAGGCUACUUUUACAUUGAUGUGUCAUCAACUUGGUGAUUAUUCGGAGUUUAUCAAGAUUCCAACGUCCGAGUUUGGAGGGGCUCAUAAAACAUUUCCUCGAAGAUUAAUUAUUAACCCAGGCACGAUGGCAGACAUAUAAUUAAUUACUGCAUGUGUUCUAGUCAGUAGGAUGUGUUCUUAAUUGUAUGUUUGCUUUUCCUGCAGUGUCCAUAUACCGGCCGUAUUUAGAUACCAAAUUUUUCUCUUGCUCGAUUGUAUGAAGGGGAUCCUAGCUAUAUCCACGAGACACAAUCACCUAAUCUGGCAGCUAGAACGUGCGUGGAGUCAGAGUUAAGUAAGGUACAGACACCAUGGGUUGGGACUGCCCUAACAACUCUUACGAUACUAUUACCAACUGUGUUCUACUUCACAUGCCAAACAUAACUGGAUCACUGCCCGCGCAAAUAAAGGGUCUUGGGGGCACUAAUAUUGCGAGAGUAAUCUUUUUUCUUUUUUUGAAAUAAUAGAACCAGCUGCUAUAGCUGGCUUCUACUCGCUCCUUCUUUAUCAAUAAAAUAGGCACGAUCUCAUGCCCGUUCGUUAAAAAAACAUACCAAACAUAAAUUGUUUUCUGAAUUAUGAAAUUACGGGAUACAAUAAAGUAGAUGACAAACUUUCUCACCCUUUCCAAUACAGAAAAAUAUAGUACACUUGCGUGCAUAUAAAUCCAUGUACAAGCUGGACAAGAAGGUUUAUAUAUAGUGAUGUAUGCUACAGUUCAAGGUUAGUACUAAAAAGUAGCUAUAGAUUGAGCCUUCCAAACAUGUUUGCAUUGCUUUCUUCACCAAUAUGUACAUGACUUUAACAUGCCUCCAAACAAAAUGAGCGAUCGCAUGCUAUUAAGUUCACAUGCUGCUUGCAUUUCUCCACUGCCUCUGCCGCUAGCUUCAAUUCGUGCACAACCUCUGCCAUUGUAGGUCUGUCAUCCACAUCUUCCUUGAGACACCGAACCGCCAGGGCGCCGAUCUUGUCAAGGCAAUCUAUGCAGUGAUGACAUUGAGGGUCGCCAUGAGAUGAAAUGGCUGUGUCGUACAUCUCCCUUCCACUGCCCUUCUCCUUACAACACCUGACAAAGUCCAUGGGGAGGCUAUUGAUUCUACUUCUGCCAUACUUGACAGUCUUCCGGGUGAUCAGCUCAAGGAGAACCAUGCCAAAGCUGUAGACGUCACUCUUCUUCACAAAACGUUCCGUCUUCAUAUACACUGGGUCCACGUAGCUCAUAUCUGCUGCCACAGCCAUGGCAUAGUUAUCCAUCGACAAAAGCUUGGACGAUCCGAAAUCGGAGACCUUGGGCAUGAGGUUAUCAUCUAGGAGGAUGUUGGCAGACUUGACAUCACCGUGGACGCAGUCGUGAUCACCAUGCGAGUGGAUGUAGGCAAGAGCUUCUGCAGAUCCGAUGGCAAUCUUGAGGCGUGUCCGUAGCGGGACAACCUUGUGCGUUGAAACAUGCAGCAGGUUGUAGAGGUUCCCGUUACUGAUGAACUCGAAGACCAACACAGGGAUGUUUGUCUCCAAGCAACAGCCGACAAGCCGGACCAGGUUUGGGUGGCAGUUCCGGAACUGGAAGGUGAUCUCGUUCACAAUGUCCUCCCCGUGCUGAAGGUUCUUCCCUCUUCCACGAAGUUCCUUGCCUUCUACGAUGGACCGUUUAACCGCAACUCUCUGCUUUUCGUCGGUGGUUCCCAUGAACACCAUGCCGAAGGCACCUCUUCCGAUGAGGGUGUCGUAGUGGUUUGUGAACUUCUUCAGCUGCUGUUCUGUGAAUAUGUUGAUCCCAGCUGCACCCUUCAGUAUUUUACCCCCGUUUCGGUCGAAAAAAGCUGUCCUUAUUUGCCGCUUUCGAUCCUUGUAAAUGGACCAGAGUAGGAGCGCCAGAAAAAGGCUUGCGACAGUGGUUGCUGCAAACACAGCAUGUAUCCAUUAAUUUUUUCUUCUAAUCAUACUUAUUAUUAAGGAUACAUGUAGGAACUCUAAAAAAUUAAGGAUAUAUGUACAAAAAUAGUUUCCUAAUGGUGAACAUCCAUGAAUAUUUUAAUGGAAUUGUUACAUUCCUGAAAGUUUUCAUGUCUUAUCAAAAUGCUCAAAAAUAGUAAAAAUAACAUUAUUAAUUGAUCUGUAGCAUUUUCAUUUAACGAAAAUCACACAUGAAGGAUCAAGUGAAAAGAGAAAUAAUCAAUGGAAAAUGUAAAAUAACUUGGACUUUCAAAAGAUCUAACAAUCUUAUUGUGUUGACUUUUGUGCUCACCUAGUACUGCAGCAGCAGGCGCGGGAAAUAUGGGACGACAGUCCUUUCCUCUUCGGCCAAAUUUGCAUCGACACAUGUAGCUACCUUCUCUGUCCUUGCAAUUGGAGCCACUUGGACAAGGAUAUAAUUCUGGACGUAAGCAUUCGUUGAUAUCUGCAUAUAAUAUGUCAACAUUCAAGUGGUCAUUAUGAUUACACUUUCUGAAAAAAUCUGCAUAGUAUUUACCAGCUAGUCACGGAAAGAUUGUCGUUUUCUGGAAUUAACGAAAUAGUAUUCAAUCACUUGCAACUUAUCUUCAAUUAUAUUUUAUGUAAAAAAUGCAAUUGCCGUAGAAAUAAAUCGCUUACUCUUGCAGCCAUCCUUGACGUAUGGAUUCCCUUGGUAUCCCUCGGAGCAAUUGCAGAGAUACCCCUGGCCAUCUCUCACGGUGACGCUGUAGCUGUUGGAACUGACGCAGGCUCCAUCCCUGGAAACAUUGAUGGCCCAGUCAAGCACCAAAGGGGCGCUUCUGUCACCAACCCGUACGUUAUAUGCCAUCUCUCCAGUACCAUUCAGGUCGUUCAGGCUGAAUUUGUACCUAAAAUACAGACAGAAAGAUCGACAGCUAAAGCCUAAAGCUAAAAUCUUACAUGAAUCAGGUGUAGGCUACACUGCACAGAUCUAUUUCUGAAGGAAAAAGAAUUAAGGGACUACUGGACGUGUACGUACCAUCCCUUCUCGGCCACCAAGGCGUAGCCGCAGGGGCUAUAAGUCCAUGCAGAGUUUUUGUGCGUCGACCAAUCUACAUCUAUCACGUUGAGGUCGCUCGGGGUAAGUAUCUGGCAGCAGCCGAGUCCUGUGCAGCCAUUGCUGUUGCCGGCAGACGCAGCUUCAUCCAGGCUAGUGCACGUCGUCAAGCAACCGCUGAAGUAGCUCCUGUCUUCCUUGCCACGGAGCAGCGCCAGGUUGUAGCACCCGAUGCCGGUAAACUCGUUCCUCCCUGGCUUUACCAGGAAAGGCGUGCCAGCGAAGUUGAACGUCGUCCGUGACUUACUGACGACGGAGACGGUCUUCGACGAGUUGAAACAGCGGUGCGCGACGGCGCUGUAGACGCGCAUCUCGCCUGUCUCCACCGUUAUGUCCAUCACCUCGAUGUUGCCCAAGUACGGUCUUGGAGGGCUAAAGUUAUCAUUGCAGGAGAGGGUGAAGGAUUUGUCCCAAGAGCAGGCUUCGCUCAGGCCGAAGGGGUAGUGAAUGGUUACGCCGCCGCACAUGGUAGUGGUAGGGCAGCCCGGUGGUGGUGCUCGCUGCGUUUCAGAGACAACCGGUGCUGGCACCUGGGAGAGUACUAGGGCGGGAGAAAGAAGAAGCCACAGAACCUGCAGUUGUGUCAUGGCUACUUGGUUCUUUCUACUAGGCAUUCUAAUAGCUAGACCUGUUUCCAGUGCUUAAAAAGCAGUCGCCUACCUCUCUUAUAUAGGUAGAGCGUUACCAGUUUCCGUUGACAUGAUCACCUAGUCUGACGGCUAGAGCGUGCGUGUGGAGUCAGAGUCUUUGAUGACUUCACCAAGUCAAUAACGUCUUCGUCUUUAGCUGGGCGCUCAUUCCACUUGCAAGGUCCUAAGCACUCAUCUCUAGUACUAAACUUAAGUAUCCUCGCUGCUACCAGUGAUCCCUGUUUGUGUGCUGUCUCUCAAUCAUUAUGACCUUUUCCAUGUCCAAAUGCUCCACAUGCUCUGCCCGAAAGAGGGCACUGCUUGGAAUGUGGACUUAUUGUAGGGACAUGUUGCCUUGGCCUUUCCACUGAACAAUGAUUUUUAUGGAAAACCCCAAAAGGUGUGAGUUUUCGUGUUAAGUCUAAAAUGGACCGACUAAAGAGUUCGUAACCAUUAAGAAUAGGACGUGGAAGUAAGGUGGCAGCCUCAGUGGAGAUUUCGGUCCCAAAGCUUACUUCGGUCGCUUAAGGACCGAUUCACUGGCAAGUCUUUCUAUGAAAUGUACAACCAUACGUGAAAAAAGGUGCAGCAUUGGGCAGUGCCUAUUCAUGUGAGGCCCUAAUUCACAUGAACCAAGAAAUCCAUCGCAAGGGGCCACGGGUGGGCAACGAAUAUACUGGAACAGGACCUUUGCAUAGUCCCAGGUAUGGUCAGAAGAGGUCCUUCGGAGACCAUAUUGAUAUAUUUUCUUUGUGCGCACUUUCCCAGGGUAAAAUCCGUGAGGCGGAUGAUAGUAACCCUUAUUUGGAUCCCAGUAUAUCUGUGGAUGAAUCUAGGGGAUAUUGACUAGAGAUAGACACCGGUGGGUACAGGUCUCGUAGGUUAGUUCCACCAAAAGCUAAAGUAUUGGCUGUGUGUGUCAAGUGUACAAACUCUUGUAAGUCAUUAAUAUAUGUAGAGAGCUGAGGCUCACGAUCACGAGCUCACAUAGUUAAAGCUCCUGUCAAUUACCGAUCAUGUGUUUAUAAAACAUGGGUGCUAGUGAGGAAGGGUUGGGGUCCUAAGAGAGUUACUUCAAAAUGAGGCGUAAGCUCACCCACAAGGACCCUAGCGGUCUCUGGUGCUCUUUAAAACAUGGAAAUUGGUAGUGGAGGUAACAUUCCCCCUUUAGGGCCAAAAACUUCAUCCAAGUGCUUUCUUCAUUUUCUCUUCUCAAAACUCAGCUCAACUUGCAUAAAAUGAGUUUCUUAAUAAAACCAAACAUCGUGUCCAUUUCCUUGAUCAUCCCUGCAUUUUAUAUAAUUUCAAUUUAGGAUUUUCUAAGUACCAACCAUAAGUGUACUCAACCUUGCAUUCGUUAUGCAAGUUAGAAGUUCUGGUUCUAUAUUCAUUCUGCCUGUGGAGUGGGCGACAAUGGCAGACCCUGCUACGCAAAGGUGAAAAACUUUUUUAUCCAUAUAUUUUACGUGUAUUUUAUAGUUUUGAUGCUAAUAUGUGAUGAGGAUUGAUUCAACCCGUCUUAAAUGACCACCCUUAGUACCGGUUAUUUGGCAUAAUACUAAAGGGCCCCCUUUAGUACAAGUUGUCCAACCGGGUUUGAGACCGGUACUAAAGGUCGAUUCCCCGGUAGUGUGUGGUGCAUCACACCCCCUAUUCUUGUUAUAAACUGGGAGAGAUACUACCUUUCAUACCCAGUUGUAGAACUGCGAGUAAUACCCCUAGGUAUUGAUCCCUCGUAUGCACUACCGGUUCACAUUCCUGAACGAGGAGUGAUGUGCAUUUAUAUAGUAGUGUGAUUUAAAAGGAAAAAUAUAGAUUCCAUUAGUUAGUGAUGUGGCCUAACGUUGUUGCUUAUUGCGUUUUGUUUUGCAAGAAUACAGGAAAGACAUUUGUGCGGGGGAGUACCAUUUCAUGUAUACAUAUAUCUUUCCAUGGCGUGUAUUAUAUAUGGUUUUGCUCUUGGAAGUUCUUGUGUCGAUACGGUCGCACGGUCUCCUCAUCAUCCUUCACUGAAGAAAGUGUAUAUAAACGUACUCAUUCUCUAUAUUCGACGACCUAGUACCGUGGACCUCCCAAGUCUUUGCCUGAUAAUUAAGCACGUGAUCAAGUUGGCUUUACAAACUCUCGUUAGGAUCGUGUAGCUUAAUACAUAAGUUUUAUUAUUGCCCGUACACGUCUUGUUCAAUGUGCCACAAGUCCUGCCGAAUGGUGCUUUUAGUGCAAAUUUAAUUAAAUAGAUGCCAAUUGCCACGUUGAAGGAUAAAAAUCGAGAGCUCAUGCUGCCACCACCUGCAGCUUGUCUUCGCCGAGUGGAGUGGAAAGAAAUUGAGUGCUCAUGGGCACGAGUCACCGUACCAUCACAUGCCCUACCGCAAAGAUAAGUACUUACCACACAAUACUAGCUAGUAUACUACACAAGCAUGCAUGCAUCUGUGUAUAAAUUUAGUCAAACUUAAAACUGUUUGACUCCUUAGGAAAUGAGAGUUGCAUUCUUUUUUGAACGGAGGAAGUACUUAGGCACUUUUAGCAACGAAGACUCUUCUUGGUCUUGGAUUCCGGAGCCACUACUAGCGCACCCAAUCAAUGGGCCUCGCAAUUCUAUGCCAAAUCACGUGAUAGAAUGCCACUAGUUAGAACUUACAGCACAAAACUGAAUUUGGUGCCUUGACCUAGGAUUAGUUUACACCCAAUAUAAUAAUCCCAAGUUUUACAUUCAAAUGAGUGAAAGGCAUCUUAGUAUGGUAAUUUAACGCCUACUUGGCAGCUAGAACGCGCGUGGAGUCAGAGUUAAGUAAGGUACAGACACAGUUGCUGUUCAAAAAGCAAUUGCAAAUAAUAUUUGAUGACUUCACCAAGUCAACGUCUUCGUCUUAGCUGGGUGCUCAUUCCACUUGCAAGGUACUAAGCACACUCAUCUCUAGUCACUCUAACGAAACUAAAUCAUACUAAAUGAUCAGUUUAAGAUUCAAACGGGUGAAGGGCAUUUAGUGUGGUAAUUCCAGGCCCACUUGCCACUUAGUUUACACCUAAUCCCAAGGUUUAAGUACCACCUAUACCUAGGUUCAUUGCAUUUUUCCAUGAGCAAUGCAAGUACAGCGUUAACAAAUUGAGCGUUUUGGAAUCAAUGCUCCACGCAUCUCUUCAAGUUGAAGGUUGGCUUCAACUUGUGCCAUGAGCAAGUUAAUUUAACUAAGUUGAAAUACUUGAUCUUUAGUUAUGUUGUUGCUGCAGAACUACUACUGAGCUAGCUAGUUCCCUUAACAACAUUAAGAACUCUAGCUAAGUGUGCAUCAGAGAUGCAAUAUGUAUGUAUGUAUGUAUGUAUGUACAAGAAGGAAGUUAAAAGUUAAAGAAAUAAAAAAGAACAAAUAAACAAAAGUUCUAUACUGAUCGAACCUACGGCCUAUGCAGUAAUUAACGGAAUUAGUGAUCUUUGGUUCCGAAAUUUCUAUAUAAAUGAAAUAAAUGUAAUAACAAUCUAACCCCGCUAUUUGCACGGACCACAUCAACAAAAGUAGCAAUUAAAUUUUAUUAGUCCACCGUGAUUUAACAGGAAAGUGUCAUUCUACACUGUGCUCAACAACCACCGACCGUGUAGACAAGUGUAGUACAGCGCCCAAAUAAACCAAAUCUGCAGCCAACAACAUGGAUCCGGCACCGAGUCCCACACCCAGUCCCCAUACCAUAGAAUGCCUUGAAGAUCAUACAGCUGCCGUAGAAAGUUAUGUCAUCCUGGCCGUACUCGCCAUGUUCCUCUUGCACGUACUGGGUUCCUUACGCCGGCGGUUGAGCCACACAAUCCUCCAUUCUAUCGUGAUGGGAGUCUACACGGUCUCCUAUCCGCUGGUGGGCUAUACCGUUGGGCUGAUGAAAUCUUCCAAAUUCUUAUACGAAGACUUCGCUGUGUGGGCAGUGUUCCUUCUUCUGCUCCUCGGCAGCGCGGACAACCUCACGGUUUGCCGCCUCAGCGACGUCGACAACUGGAAGAGCAUCCACGUCAAACACCUCUACCAGGAAUUCUUGCUGGUGCUAAUCAUGCUGAUGAUUUGCGAGAGUCAGGAAGACAUCUACAGCAAGAAACUUCCCUACAGGUAUCCGUUGUAUGCCAUCAUGUUGGUCGUCAUCCUCAAGGGGUAUGUGAGGAUCGCUUCCAUGAGGAUGGUGAGCAAAUCCUACGUCUGCAAGAAGGUGAAAGUGAUAGCCGAAUAUAUGCAGCAGCAGCACUACAAUGACAACCUGCUGGCGGUGCCCUUCGAUCCUGUGACCAUGGAAGGCUACCGGUACAUUGUCGCUGGCGAGAAGUACUGCAUCAAGCGGCGGCCUGGUUGCACACCAUGGUACAAGGGGGGCGACUUAAAGCUUAUCACCGUGGAGAAGAUCUGGCAGUGCACAGGGAGGCUGCUGGUCCUUGAGCGGGGCAAGCUGCUCAAGGACUUGUGCCUCUCUAUGGCACUCUCCAAGAUGCUCAACCGAAGGUUCGUUGGCUUCAGGCUCUCAGAGGCGGGGCAUGAGAAAACCCAUGACUUCGUGUUCAAAGGCCUGCUCGCCGGGGACAAGCCACAUCAGAGGGCCUUCAGGGUCAUCGAGGAAGAGCUUGUUUUUGUCCGACUUCUAUUACACAAGGUAUUCUUACCUCUACCAAAAGGGUCGAUACAUUGCCCUCUCGCUGCCCAUCGUCAUGCUUGCCUUAUGCUCGUGGCUCACCAAUCUGCUCGUCAAGCACUACGAGAGUCGCUCUGUGCAGGCCGCCACCAUAUUUGUAACUGUUGUCGUGGCAUUCCUGGAGGCAUACCAGCUCUACCUGUACAUAUCCUCAGGUUGGUUCAAGGUGGCACUAAUACAGAGCUACAUCAACACAUCAUUUUUGCGAAGAAGCCGUUGCCUUGAGAUCAUCAUAGGCCUUCUUUUGAGGUUGGUGGCGUUUGCACCAUGGAAACGCAAUCUUGGGCAGUACUGUAUCCUCCAGGAGGUUGACCGCAAACGUAGGGUUAGGAAUUGUCUCCAUUAUGCUACGCUGCGCCUGCUGGACAAGGCUAGCAAGAAUGUACUUAAGAAAUCAGAAAAGGUGUCCGAAAAUGUGAAGAAAACCAUCGUUGAUUCCCUGUUAGGAUGCAACGGCAACCUGACGAAUGCGGUAACAUCGCUGCAAAACAAUGGCGUCAAUUUUCUCUCAUGGGCAGGUGAUGCAACUGCUACUGACGGAACGGUGGCUCGCACCAUUGUGGUCUGGCACAUUGCUACAACCCUGUCCGAGCAGAAGCUGGAUAAACAAGCCAAAGAAGAAGACGCUGUCAAAACAGCCUCCACUUUAUCCAAGUACUGCAUGCACCUCCUUGCGUCUCCACCUAACCUCUUGCCCCGACCACAGGUCUAUAUCGGAAUCCAUACUUGAUCAGUCAAUCGACGAAGCAGGCAAGUUACUCAAAGAGGCCAAGGAAAAGAAGAUCAAGGGAAAGAACAAGAAGAUCAAGGGAAAGAACAAGAAGAUCGAGGGCAGUACUAAUGCAAAUUCGCACUGAUGAUGAUUGUGUUGGUGAUGAAAUAAGGCUCGUAGCGCAAGGCGUUGACCUUGCAAAGCAACUGAUUGAUAACAUAGAAGACUUCACAACACGGUGGAAGGUGCUAUCUGAUUUCUGGGCGGAGAUGAUGCUGUAUGUCUCGCCAUCCGACGAUGCUCGGGAGCACCAGCUGGAAGUUCUUGCAAAAGGAGGGGAGUUCAUCACGCACCUUUGGGCGCUGCUCACGCAUGCCGGUGUGCUGAAGAGAGGCCGUACAGAGGCAAAGGAUGUUGUCUGAUCUCGACAACUAGUGCAUACGUAGCAGUCCAUAUAUCUAC